rnacentral:lncRNA from 1 species
GAAAAGAAAAAAAAAAUCGUUGUUGAAUCAAUCUAUAUUAUUUCAAGGAGGUUCAUUAAAGAAAUUGAGUUAAAUUGGAAAAUUCAAUUUGAAUAUCAUACAACUCAUAUAUAGAACUGAACUGUCCCAAUCCAUGAUACUUUUGAAUUGCCGUAUCAUGAGCUGGGACAGUUCUAUGUAUGGAUUGUAUUGUCGAAUUCUAGUUGAUUUACAUUUUCGGCUAAGUUUAUUUUUAUAUGAAAUAAACGAAACAGAUAGCGUGCUAUCUAUCUCUCUCUCUCAAAAAAAAAAAGUACCGUAUCCCUCCUCUUCUCGAUAAUUUUUUAUCGUGUUAUUCUGUUCAGUCGGAUCAAAAAUUUUUAAUACAAUAAAUAUUUAUUAAAAAAGUAUGGGUUUUGUGGGCUUGGUUUUACCACUUGCGCUAGAGACGGUAUUGUUGGUCAUUUGGUACGCAAAUUUUUUGAAUGUUUUGUUAUGAUAAGCCGCUUUAAAAAAAAAAAAAAAAAAAAAAAAUCUCAAGUGCUUUUGUUUCAUUUGAGCUAUCAUUGUUUCUUUUGAUAUUUUUGUUGUAACAGUAUUUCUGCGUAAGCUUUAAUAGAGCGAGACAAGUAAGUCAUAGUCGCAACGAUAAAUAUCUUAAUUGCUAUUAAAGGGAAGCUUCAACACAUGCCUCUUAGAUACGUACCCAUCCAUAAUAAGUGGCCGAGUUGCUUCAAUUUGGUUAUAUUUUGUGGGUCUCGAUCUCCUCACUUGCAAAUAGCCUCUAUUAUUUUGUCCUAUGUCACUUUUUCAAUUAUGUCCACUCAUAAUUAACUGCUUAAUUAUUAUGCACACAUGUACACACACACACUCUCUCUCUCUCUCUCUCUAAUUAGGGAUAUUAAUAUCCAACUUUGUGUGAACCUAAGUAGGAUUCACAACAAAUCUAUGGAAAGAUCCCAAACAAAAGAUAAUCUAAUGGUUAGAGAUCUAAGAUUCGUAGCUAGGCCAUGUCAUGCUCUCACAAGGCAACAAAUUUUAUUUUGAGAUAUUUGAUAACAUUGUUUCAAACGAAAAAGCUAUUGCCUGCACCCAAUACGUCACGUACAUUUCUGUCCUCUCUUAGGCUAUUGUCCCAUCUCACGGCCUUAAUGUAAAUUAUUUUGUUCGGAAUAGAUUUUAAUCUCUCUGUAAGGGGAUCAAAAUUAAAGUACAAGAUAAGAUGGAUGCUUCAUUAACUUGAGCAUCGUGGGCUGAUUAUGGUGCACCAGGUGCAAGCAAAUUAUACGCAUAAAAACAUGCAAAUAUAUCCAACUUUUUUUUACUAUGAAAUACGUUGUAUACAUCAUCUUAAGAAACAAAGUACUUUUCAUUCUCCUUCCUCAUUUCUCUUUACUACAUCUCUUAGAAAGGGAUGCAUGCAAAGAGCACGAGCAAAAUAAUAGUGGUUGAUCUGUUUUCUUCUCCUUUUAAAAACCAGCCAAUUUUCUUCUACUCUUUAAUUUUCCGCCGACAAGAAAAAAAUAUAUAUAUAUAAAAAAAGUGAAAUUGCUAGAAAAAGUUUAUUAUCACUUCUCUGCGAUAAAUGUUUUUUGAAAAAGUUACAGCUGAUAUGUUGAUAUGUACGUAAAAAUUAAUUAGUUUGUGUAGCUACAUAUAUAUAUACUACAAUGAAUAAUCAUACGAGGUUAUAUUAAACUACCUAAAGUAUUAAUUAAUUCUUAUCAUUUUAACUAUCUCAAAUUUAUAAAAAUUUUGGUGGAAAUUUUUUUUUACGUUUUAUAGUGUUUGAUUUGUAAAAAAAAAUAUAUAUAUAUAUCAAUAUUUAUUUGGUUGUAAAAAAUAUAUAUAUAUAUCAAUAUUUAUUUGGUUGAAAAGAAAAAAAAAUCUGCAUCAGUGUGGUUCAAUGGAAAAAAAAAUGAAUGAAAAUUUUUUUCGUAGUUUGAAUUUUCGUUUUCCACCGAAAAUUAGUGGAAGAUAAAAAAUUUAAUUUUUAUAAAAAAAUUUACGAACAAAGUAUUUUUACCUUGAAUGAAAUAAAUAAAUAAAAUUUUUCAUAUCAAAAAUAAUUUUUUGAUUCGUAUUAUACCGAACCAAACGCCCCUUAGCUAACUCGAACAAGCCCUCGGAUUGGCAGUUGUAAAAAAGCAAAACAUCUUAAAAAAACAUAAUAAAUAAAAAAGCCCACAGUAGUUAUAUCACUCACAUGACUAAUCAUAUUUACUUAACUAGUUCUCUUUAUAUUAUAUAUAUAAGCAAAAAAAAUUAUACUCUCAUGAGUAUUAACUUAUUUGUACUCAUAAAAUUUUAAUCGUUGAAUGAACAAAUAUGCGAUUAGAAUGAUAAUAGUUUUCUAAAAUUAAAUGGGUGAUUAAUUGAAUAUUAUAAUCUAGCGGAUAGAAUUAAUCAAAAGAGAAGAUCUAAUUGUCGAAAAUGUAAGAGUACAAAAAAAUUUACACUCAUAAAGGUAUAGUAACUAGGCUCACUCUCUCUCUCUCUCUAUAUAUACAUAUAAACAUUUUGUUUUUCCUCUUCUCAAUUCUCUCUCUCUCUCUCUCUCUAUAUAUAUAUAUUAUAUCUUUUUCCAAAGAAACUUGUCACCCCCCUCUCCACCACCACCCUCUCUCCAUUAUAAACAUCCUCAUCUCUCUCUCUCUCUCUCUCUCAAAUUAAGCUCAUUGCAACAGCAACUAAAAACUAAACCCACUAAUGGGUCUCUCACCAUCUCUCUCUCCAUAGAGUUAGAGAGGGAGAGAGGGAGAGAGAGGUGUACGCACGUACGAGGGUGAUAUCGAUAUUGAAGCUGAUAUGGUGGUUGACGGUGGUGAUGAUCAGACUCAAAAUCAGAAUCAGGAUCAGAUGAUGGCCGGAUGGGUGAGUGGGCUGGUGGAGGAGAGGGGUUUCUUCGAGGGGUGCGGGGCCCACCAGCGCCGGAAGAAGAGCGAGAAGAACAUCUUCUGCCUCCGCUGCUGCGCCUCCCUCUGCGCCCACUGCACCCCUGCCCACCCCUCCCACCCACUCCUCCAGGUGCAGUACGUUCUUUUAAAACAGUGCAAUACCAUAUUCUACAGCACUUUUAUGAAAAGUACGAUCUUAAAUUUUCACCCAAUUUGUAACGACUACAUAUUUUUAUGUACAUACUUUUAUGAUCCUAUGUUUUGGUAUUUGAAACAAGUUUUCGCUAAUUGUUUGCUGAAUUUAAUUAUUAAAACAUAGGUUUUCUGUGCUUUUGUGUGUGUGUGUGUGUGUGUGAGUUCAAAUUGCCAAAACAUAAUAAAUUGAAGGCCAAAAAAAUUCAAUGCAACAGGUUUACACUCUUGCCCCUCUGAAUGUAGGAGAAUUUUCCCAAAGAGUACAUGUGUCAGAGGGGUAUAAUUGUCUUUCCACUUAUGUCCUUCCCUUCUAAUUAAUCCUCUCAAUUCAAAUUUUGGGCACAUCUUUGUUGCCACUGUAAAUUAAGGGAAAUUAUAAAUUUGAUUUACAAGGGGCCUCAACUAUAGGCCAAUUUGAAAUGUACGCUCCAUCAAUUUUAUUUUAUUUUGUUUUUGGAAAAUGGCAUCUUCUCGACUUUGAUUUAUAGUAAUUUAGACUAUUUAUUUUUCAUUAAAUUGAGGAUUUAUUAAAACUAAGAACUCUAUUAACACUCUACUGACCGCAACAGUUGAAAUUAUUUUACGACGAUUAAAUUUAACAUAAUCAUUGAUAAAACUAAUCUAAUAUUUUCUGAAAAUAUAGGUGAGAAGAUAUGUCUACAACGACGUGGUUCGAUUGGAUGAUCUUGAGAAGCUCAUCGACUGCUCCUAUGUUCAGGUACGUACUCUGAAACAUCUAUUAUUUUUCAAGUUGAAUUAAACAAAACAUAUAUUUUGGUACGUAAUUAAUUAACUACGAAGAUUAAUUAUAACAUGUCUCCAUUUUUAACUUUAUAAUUUUUUUUAACACAAUUAAUUAAUUGAUGCAGCCGUACACCAUAAAUAGUGCCAAGGUGAUAUUUCUGAAGCCGCGGCCUCAGUCGCGGCCUUUCAAAGGCUCUGGUAACAUUUGCUUGGCCUGCGAUAGGAUCCUUCAAGACCCCUUCCAUUUUUGCUCCCUAUCAUGCAAGGUACUUUUUUUUUCUUUAAUUAAUUUAAUUCUUGGUAACGAUGUACAAAAUCUACGUCGCAAAUCUUAAAACAAUAAAUAUUCUUAAUUUGAAAACGAUUUAUCUAGUUUUAAAAUUUCGAUCUUACUAUCAUAUAUAGUUUAUCCAAUUGUGAGGUUGUGAAAUUAUAGGUUGAUCAUGUAAUGGCACAAGGUGGGGAUGUGACAAGCAUUUUACUCCGGUUCGACGAGUCGGAGUUCAACAUGUUGCAUUUCGAGAGUUUCCCGAUGGAGGGGUCCGAUCUCGUGGACGACGGCGACCGGAACACGCACAAUUCGAUCCUCGAAGAAACCUUUCGCUACGGGGACUGCUCGGGCUCGAGCAGCGGCUCGCGGGGGGUCGCGGUGGUCGAGGUUCCAAAGAGGAAGAAGGGUAGGGGAUUUUUCCCUCAUGUUAAUGUUCUCUCUAUGAGCAGUAGGAGGAAGGGUGCUCCUCAACGAUCUCCUCUCUCUUAACAUUGGCCAAUAAUUUAAUUGGGCUUUUAUUUGCAUAUAUAUACAUAUAUUAAUAUAUACGUCUGCAAAUAUGCAAAAUCAUGCAUGUGAUUUUAUAUAUAUAUAUAUAUAUAUAGAGUUGAGCUAGAAUACUCUCGAUAGUAAGCGGGCCAUUUUACUAUCGAGUUGUUUUCGAUGAUAGAGCUUCCAAAUUGACAAUCGGCUCCGUUGAACAUGAUCUAUACUACUUAAAGUGUUUAGAAAUCAAAUUUCAAAUCUUUUCGACAUCAUUUGCCUAAUGAUCAAAGGGUUUCAAAAUUUGUAAUUUUAAUGGUGGAUAAGAGACGUUUUCUCGUUUAACGGUGUAAAAAUAUCCAAAUCAAUUGAAUUUUUGUUAGAAAAUUCUUUAAACUAUUUAAAACAAGAUCUAUACUCUUGAUCUUGAUUACAAGACUCCUAUCAUCAUUUUUUAAAGAAUAUUCAUUUUCAACCAUUCAUUUUCUGUUCACUAGAUGGAUAAAAGAACAAUAUCGAAAGUGCGUGAAAUUUGAUUUCUAGGUAGUUUAAAUGGUUUAGAUCAUAUUUAACGGAGCCGAUCGUCAAUUUGGAAGCUCUAUCAUCGAAAACAACUCGAUAGUAAAACGCCCCGUUUACUAUCGAGAGUAUUCUAGCUCAACUCUAUAUAUAUAUAUAUAUAUAUAUAUAUAUAUUUCUGGUGUCAGUAUUUAUAUGUCUAAAUGCAAGCGAAGCGAAUAUGAUUAUGAGACUAAUGAGGAAUAUAUAUAUGCAUUUGCACAACUUGGCAUAUUUGCAGUAGUCAAUGUGCAAAAAAAAAAGGGAAAAAAAAAAAACUCAAACUUAAUUCAAUUAUUAUCAUGUGGUUUUAGUGUGCAUAGCUUUGUGAAAUUUACUAGUACAUAGAUCCUCCCCAAAAUGCCCAUAUCCAUGAGGGGACAGAAUGGGCAUUACAUUAAUUGCUGGGUCUUGAGUUUGUAUUUCCAUUAUUGAGUAGGGGGCUCGAGUGGACCAUUUUUGGAGCUCACUGUGGCUACUAAUUUUGUAUUGGUGGAAUGGAAUUAAUGCAUCCAUAUAUGCUUCUAUAUCUAUUUUCAUCAUAUAAUUCUCUUGAGCUUAAGUUUUUCUUGUACUUGGUCAUUUUCCAUACUAGCUAUUUCUUUUGACCAACACUUCCUCCUAUACUGUAUAACUCAAUCCUCACACACACGCGCGUGCGCACAUAUAUACGAAGCUGGGUUGAAAUACUUCUAAUAAUAUUAAAUUAUUUAUAUUUAUGAGUUUUCAGUCCUUGAAUGAAGUACUGCGAGGUUAGAAUAUAUGAUAGUGAUUCCUCUAGAGUUAAUGGUGAUUAAUUGGAUAUAUAGUGUGAUCAAAGGAGUAAGAUUCAAUGGUGGAAAAGUCGCCGGCACCAAAUGCAUGGUGUAUCUAUAUAUAGAUGGAGAGUACUCGGGCACUAUACUAUUAUAAGUAUGAUUUGCCUUCGUAUUCAUAAGUCAUUUUCGAUAACGGAGCCUUUGAAUCGACGAUUCUUACCGUUAAACAUAAUUUAUUGUAUAAAAUAUUUUAAAUACCAAAUUUUAUAAUAUUUUGGUAUCAUAUAUUUUACGAUCAAAUUAAAGGGCCUCAAAAUUAACUUUUUAACUGCCAUUUUAGGGAAUUUUUUAGUUAACGGUGUAGAAAAUCAAAAUUAUUUCAAUUUUUGAUAGAAAAUUUUACCCACUACAUAAAUUAAGGUGAAUUACUCGGAGCUUGAACUCAAGAAUCAUGUCCGCUGUGACGGCCCACUUUUUGGAAGUCAUUCAUUCUAGAAUUACUCUAGCCCUAGCACGUUUAACUCUAUUAAUCUUUUCAGCCUAGCGACUACAAAAAAUAUUAUAGUCGAGUUAAGAAUUUUAGUCAUAUUAUAUUUCAUAAUAGAACUAUUUAAAAUCUCACAUUUUUUAUUUGUAAAAAAUUAUUUUUAUUAUUAUUUUGAGAGAUAAGUAGCACGCAACUCGUUUCGUUUAUUUCAUUUAGAACUAAACUUAGCUAGAAAAUGUGGAUCAAUUAAGAUUCGAACUUGGGCCCUCAGGUACCAAUUACCAAGCUCUUUGCCACUUGCUAUAGGGACAGCUGGUAAAAUUAUUUAAUUUUUACAGUUCAUUUUGUACCAACUUAAUGAACUGCUGAAGCACUCUAUAUGGUGUAAAAGAAAGUAUAGGAUUACAUAGUAUACAGAGUAUAUAAGAAGUGUAUGUAUAUGUGUAUAUGUAGCUUGAUGUUAACUUAGUGGGAGGAAAAGGGAUACAGUAAUAUUUGAUCUAUGACUGAUCGUUUCUAGAGCAAGUGAUAAAGAACUUGAUGGUUGGUACCCGAGAUCCCAAAUUCGAAUCAUAGUUGAUUCACAUAUCUAGCUAAGUUUAUUUUUUAAUGAAAUAAAACGAACCAGAUAGCGUGCCAUCUAUCUCUGUAAAAAAAAAAAAAAAAUAAUAAUAAUAAUAAUAUCUGAUCCCUACGAAGCCAUAAUUAAUGUAGAGAGAGAAAGAGAGAGAGAGAGGCUAAUUAUUAUUGUAAAAUAUUAUCACCUCGAAAUGCAUGGUUUUUAUCUUUCUGCUGCUACUGCAACUAGCAGUUUUUUUUUUUUUUUUUUUUUUUUUUUUUUUUUUUUUUUUCUCUUUUUGCUUCUUGUCAUUAUUGGAGCUUGUAAUGCAAUAAUGCCAGAAAUAAUCGUAGUAAACAAGAACNCCCUCUUUUUUUUUUUACCAAUUAUUGUUGUCCUCGAGUUUUUUUUACUUUUACUUUAAAUUGUGACUUAUCCUUAAGUUAAUUUUUACAGUUUUUAAAAUAUUUUUUCCCCUUAAUUAAAGUCACUUUUUAUUUUCUUAACCCCUCUCUCUCUCUCUCUCUCUCUCUCUCUCUCUCUCUCAAUUCCCAAUUCAACUGGGUUGGCUUUAAUUUACUUCAUGUUGAGUGCUUCUCUUUUUUGAGUAUCUUACAAAGAAUUCUAUUUAUAUAUAUAUAUUGGCCUGAUAUAUAAUACAAAAAAUCAUAAUUACUUUAUAUAAGAGGUUCCAAUCACUAAAUAUAGAUUACCAACGUAUCAACAACCGAGCAUGCAUUAAUUAUCUACUAUCUCGUGCAAAGUUUUCGUUUUUUUUAAUUAAAUUAUUUGCACGCACUCAAUUAAUUAUUUGAUCAAGAGAUUAAUUAAUAACAAAUAAUUAAUGUUAAAGAAAUUAAUCCUGUAUACGAGGUUGUAGACAAUGCGCCGCUCCAUCUAAGCAGUGGCAGCAGCAUUUCACGAUUUCGGAGGCCCUGCACGCACAGCGUUUGGCAACGGUACCGAUCGUCUUUGUCGGUGCCAAUCGACACCGCCAAAAGCGCUUUUGUUCUCGAACGCCAGCGACAUUCACUAUUUGUUUCAAAAAUUAAUUUCAUACAGUUUCCUGUAAAUAUAUUGAAUAAUAAAUAUAUCUUUACAAAAUUUAACUUUUUAUAUUUAUUCAUACACAAGUCCAGUAAUAUUCAUAUUUCUUCCUCUGAUUUAUUACCGUUAGAAUACUGUUUAUUUUUUAACAUAAUAAAUGAAAUGAUAAUUUUAUCAUUACAAAUAUGUCCCUUCAAAAACUUCAAGUGUUAGAAAUGUUGUUCCAAAAACCUCUCGCUGUUAUCUUCUUCCUUUUUAUCAUCACAAAUAAUAUAAGAGAAAUAAAAAUGUCAAUUUAUCUUAUUUACUAACCAGAGUUAACUAUAUUUUUUAACUGAUUCUCACAGUAGGGAUAUAUAUAUAUUUAAAAAUGUUAUCUUCUUCCUUUUUAUCAUAACAAAUAAUAUAAGAGAAAUAAAAAUGCCAAUUUAUCUUAUUUACUAACCAGAGUUAACUAUAUUUUUUUAACUGAUUCUCAUAGUAGGGAUAUAUAUAUUUAAAAAUGUUACGAUUUUUGUAGGAAUAAAUAUGAAAAAUUAAGCUUUGUAGAAAUAUAUUUACUCUUUAAUAUGUUUAAAGAGAGCUGUACAAUUAAUCCUUAUUUUAAACAUACUACAAAUAUACUAUCAAUGCAUGGUACGUACGUCGACCAACACAUUCCCACCAUGCAACCAUAUAUAAAUAACUCUCUAAGCAUACAUUAAUCUUAAUUAGUUUAUGUUUAUCUAACUCCAACGUUUAGCGUUAAUAUCUUAUUAUAUUAUAGGCAAUAUUAAUUAGUUUUAUAUAUAUAUAUAUAUAUAUAUAUAUAUAUAUAUAUAUAUAUAUAUAUAUAUAUAUAUAUAUAUAUAUAUGCUUGGAAUAAAUAUUAGUAACUUAUUUCCCCGAGCAAAUGUUCCGUGGCUUUUGAGCGCGCCAUGAGAUUGAGCUCCAUUGAGCCUACAUUGGUUUGAAGGACUAUGAUAGGUACUUAAUGUGGCUCAUGUCGGGACCCGAAUCAAGUGAUCGAGUUCGAGUUCGAGUUCGUGUUCGUGUUCUGCGUUUUGUGUUAUCUAUAUGUACGUACCUUUCUAAGUUGGCAUGUACUAUUGCCAUUGUCAUAUAUUUUCACUCAACCACAUCGCAUCAACUCCUCAGAAAUAAAGUCAAUUGGGCAUAUAUGCAUCCAUGUUCACACGCGAAAGGGUGAUUCAAAUCAUUAUAAUUAUCCAAAAAAAAAAGAAAAAAGAGGAAAAUUUUGCUGGGGCUUAAUUACGUACGUGCCAUCAUUUGCAUGAUCAACUUUGCAUAUGUAUCAACAUCUCCGACGCUUCACUUUGUAAUCGUAAUUUGUUCCAAACCCUUUCGUUAGUCGUAGAAAAUAAACAGUGUUGAUCAAAAAUAUUAUUCAUCAAUUGCACAUAAAUUGUUUAAAUGUUCUGAUUACAUCAAACCAUUUAUAUUUUAAUUCUUGUACAUUUAUACUUCUUUUUUUUUUCUCUCGCUUGUAGAUAUGCAAUAAAACAAAAACAAUUGGACCACCAAUAUAUAUAUAUAUAUAUAUAAUAAGGUGAGAGAAAAAAUAAUUAAUUGUACCAUUGAGGUGGUGUUUAUAACAUGGUGUCUCCCAUUGAGCAUCCAAAGCGGUGUUGUGGGGUUUGUCGAAUGAGCGUGGAUGAUAACGACGUGACAAAGCGAUUCAAAAAUUUAAUUUAAUUAAUUAAUUAAUUAAUGUGAUUUUUUUUGUUACAAAAAUGAAAGAUUUUUUAAAAAAAGGACAGGUCGGUUUGCUUGUGUUUGUUUAUUUCACACAAGUGUACGUAGAGGAACAGCGUGAACUUUUAUGGUAAAUAUUUAUUUUUAUAUGUUUUUAUCAUAAUUUUAUUUUUUGCCGAAACUAAAAUUUUUAAAAAUACAAGCCAAGAUCAAUACGGAGAGAAAAAAAAAAGAAAGAAAAAACAAUAAAAUUUUAAUACAUCUCUCACACCUUCAAAUAGUUGAACUAUAAAAUUUUACUUCGACAUCUGUACAAGCAAAUAACUGAAGAAAAAUAAUUUUUAUCUUGACUCUAGUUCCUUCGAAAGUCUAUUUCAAUUUGAACUGUAUCUCCGUGAAAACAAAAAAGCGGAUAUUAUCGCUAUGAAUCAAUGGCUUAUUAGAUAAGGCAAAAAAGUAAAUGUAAAUUCGCAAUUUUACUUUGUUUGGGUCCCCCACUCCCAUGCAGGAUCAAGUGGAGAAACGUACGGCAACUGUUUUGGAUCCCCUGUCUCUGCACACCACCUUGACCAUUUGGUGUUGGUCCCCCUCUCUGCACAAGUGGGCUCUGGUCACUGCAACAGCAAAUAUUUUAAUUGAAAGUUAUUUUUAACCUGAAAUUCACUUACGGUCAAAUAAAUGGUUCCCUUACUAUUUAGUAAUAAGAUAUGAAGAGACGAUAAAACUAGUGGAGAAUAGGGGUGGAAACGAGCCGAACACGGGCGAGCUGUGGUCAGCUCGUGUUUAGCUCGUUUAUUAAUCGAGCCGAACACGAGCUGGCUCAUGAGCUGGCUAAUGAACAAUAAAUUAAAAAAGAUUAGAUUAAAUAUAUAUAUAUAUAUAUAUAUAUAUAUAAAAUAAAUUUAUAAAAUCUUAUUCAUUAGACUUUUAUUUAAUAGUUGAAACUUGAGUUGGACUGGGCUACUAUUAGUAGCAAAAUUUCAUUGUUGCUACCAGUUUUUUAGCCUUUGGAUCAACUCUUUUUAUUAUUUCUAACCAUUGAAUUAAAUACUAUAACCCAGUGGAGACCACUCAACUAGGGAUGUCAAUGGGUAUGGAUACCCGAAAUUUUAUCCGAACCCGAACCCGAAUGAAACGGAUAUAUCCGAUGGAUAUGGAUAUGGAUUUGGAUAUGGAUAUAAAAAAUAAAAACCCGACGGAUAUGGAUUCGGAUAUGGAUUUUGAUUGUAUCCGACCCGAACCCGAACCCGACCCGAACCCGAAUUUAUUUUGUAUUAUAUAGAUAUGGAUAUAUAAAAAUUUGAUGUUAUAUUUGAAUUUGUAUUUUAAAAUUUUUAAUUUAAUAUAAUAUAUUUUGAAAUAUUGAAAAAAGAAAUAAUUAUUUCGGGUUCAAAUUUUCGGGUUCGGGUUCCGGUUCGGGUUUCGGAUUUUUGGUCGGGUUCGGGUUUGGAUAUGGAUUUUUAAAAUCGUCGGGUUCGGGUCGGGUCUCGGGUUUGGAGUCGGGUUCGGGUUCGGGUUUUUAAAAAUCCGCCCCGAAUCCGACCCGUUGACAUCUCUACACUCAACCUUACAAUUUUCAUCCAAGGGUUAAAAACUUGAUAGUAAAGAGCGUUUUACUAUUAAUAGUAUUCCAGCCUAAUUCUUGAACGAUUACAUAUAAAUGAGUCUUUUUAUAAUUAAGCUCGCAUUUAUAUUUUUAUUUUGCUAAAAUGUAAAUAAUAAAAAUAUAUAUUAUAUAUAAUUAUUUAUUUAUAUAUAAAAAUAUAAAUUAAAUAAAUUAUAUAAAUAUAAAAUAUAUGUAUUCGAGCUAUUAUUGAGCCGAACACGAGCGAGCUGACCCCAGCUCGUGUUCAGCUCGUUUAUUAGACGAGCUGAAAAAUCCAGCUCGUGUUCGGCUCGUUUACUAAACGAGCGAACCGAUCUCCAGCUCAUUUCGAGCCGAACACGAGCUGGCUCGCAAACAGCGAGCUGGAUUGCCACCCCUAGUGGAGACAUAUGAGUUUUUUUGUAGAAUAAAAUUGAAUAAUUUUAACAAAUACGUACGUGGUUGCAGAACUAGCAUUGUUUAAACUUUUUUGCGUAGAAAAGUAGUUUGUUAUUUAGCGGAACUCCUUUCUCUCUCUCACAUGAUUUUGUUAUUACUUAAUGCUUAAUUUAUUCAAAAUUGUGUAGUAUAUCUAAGACGCGGACUCCAAAUUAAUUACAUAGUAUUGAGUAGAGGGUGUUUUUUUUCAAUAAAAAAGAGAGCGAGAUUAUAGGCGAAAAUCAAUUCAGGAGAAAAUUUGAUAUCUAUGGCAACUCACGCGACAAAAGAAUAAAUUUUUAAUAAACUAAAUUAAUAUUAAAUAUUGUAGAAGAACCACUACAUUAAGUAAAAGUAAAAUAUUAGAGCACUAUUGCUGCGACGCCCCAGUAGUUGUACAUCGGGUGAAAAAAGAGUUAUAUUAAGAAUAUAAAAAUCAGAUACUUUAAUACUAACGGUUAGGUUUAAACAUUUUCGGCUAGUUAUUUUGGUUUUACUAGUUAUUAGUGUUAGCGGGAUGAGCCGAUAUAUUUGGUAUCAGAGAUGAAUUUCGCUUCACCUAAAGAGGACGUCACGAUCUAAAAAUUAUAAUUGAGAAUAUAAGUAUUUGGAGACUCUAAUAAUAAUGACAAGAUUUAAAUAUUUUGGGCCAAUAAUAUGCGUCUAACGAGUUAUUAAUGUUCCUAGGCCGGGUCGGAUCUUACUGGGCCGACCUGGAUCUUACUGGGCCGAUCACAGCUCACUUGGGCCCCCAUGUUGUACGGACGAGGCUCCGCAAUAUUGGGUUGAUCUCGGCACUCGUGGGUGGCUAGGCGCCGAAUCAGUAAUCGACGUUUUUUUUUAAAAAAAAAAAAUUUCCUUUGAAACUCGGCAAUUCGAGGGAAUCGAGCUCUCGGAUCAUGAAUUCGUGUACCCGGCCCAUAGAGUUGAAUUACGGCCCAACUCUUGGCCCAUCACUCUUUCUCACCUACGUGGCAACACGUGGUUGGCGACCUAUUUUUGAUUUACGACUCUAUACACCAUAACCAACAAAGAAUGUUUUUUUUUUUUUUUUUUUUUUCAUAAGCCAAGUAGCACGUUUUUUUUAUAAAUAAAUAAAUAGGAAAAGGAACGAUAAAUAAAUAAAUAAAUAAAUAAAUAAANACUCUUGGCCCAUCACUCUUUCUCACCUACGUGGCAACACGUGGUUGGCGACCUAUUUUUGAUUUACGACUCUAUACACCAUAACCAACAAAGAAAGUUUUUUUUUUUUUUUUUUUUUUUUUCAUAAGUUUUUCAAUUUUUUUUUAUAAAUAAAUAAAUAGGAGAAGGAACGAUAAAUAAAUAAAUAAAUAAAUAAAUAAAUAGCUUAUGCUAAACAGUGUAUAAGUGGAGGGUUCCCACGUUUGGACACAUGGCAAGGGCAUGUGCGUACUGAAUUAAUUCCCAUCAUCAUGAUCCAUCAAUGCGUGAUGGCUUUUUCUUUUUAAGAAGUCGGCAAGAGCACGGUGGGAUGUCAACCAAAGUCGGCGCCGAAAAUGGCCCUCCACUCAACUAAUUAUUAAUUAGUUAAUCUCAUGUGCCCGUGGUUAGUGCGCCAAUAGUUUUAAGCACUUAGUUUAAUAAAUUACCAACAAAAUUAAGAAAUUUGGACAUAUUUUGAAUUAGACAUAAAUUAUCUGAAGCCAAAGUCAACUCCUCAAUCGCACUUAUUAGUGAGAGGAGCACUGUAGAGACAGUGACAUCACUCAUAAUUAUACCUUUUUUUUUUUAGUAUUAUAUACCAUCUCAUUGUUGAUAUAAAUAAUAAUUUUAGUAUUUAUUUGUCGCAGUUUCUGCUAUUAAAUUCAACUGCAAAAGUCUCUGUAUAGACUGAAAAUUCUAAACAAUUUUAUUUUUUAAUUUUAAAAAUUAUAUUUUGUUUAAAAGAGAAGCAAUUUUCUUAAAAAUAUUAUUAAAUUUAAUAAUAUUUUAUCAAAUUGUAGUGCGCCCUAUAAUCCUCCACUAGAGAGCCCUUAUUCUUUAUGAAUUAAGUGUGACCAUAUUAAGAAACCAAUUAAUUUUUUUAGACUAAAUUAUAAAAAUUUUCUGUAAAUAUUUAUUUUUUAAAUUUUUUUCUUUACAUUCAAAAAUUCAUAUUUUAUCUUUUUAAAAUUUUGAAAAUAUUUUUAAAAAAUAUGACGUUAACGGUGAGGACAAAAUAACCAAAUUAUUUUUAUCUUUUCUAUAAAAAAAAUUUUUUUACUAUAUUUUUGUUAUUUUGAAAGGGUAUUUUUGAUAUAAAAUAUAAGAAAUGAAUAUAAUAGUAAUGAAAACAAAACUGAGUGGGACUAAAUAUAAUAAUUUAAAAUAUUGAGGGGAUAUAAUAUGGACUUUUAAAAGUUAGACAAAAAAAGAAAGUAUUUAUAAAAAAAAUUUAUAUAAUUUAGUUUUUUUAUUUUUUUUAAAAAAAAACAAAACAAAAGGGAAGUGGAGCACACAGAGUAGCAGUGUGCGCCAAACACGAAAAGCUUCGGUAAAAAGCCCUUAUCGUCUUCUUCCUCCUCUAAAAGCCUCUGCUUCAGCUUCUGCUUCUGCUUCUCGAAGAAGCUUCGUGCACCAGCCAUGAGCUCCGCCGCGCCGCAGCUCCCCGCGGCCGUAAAUGGUGGCUCCCAAAAGCUCCGAUUUCGCCAAACCGGCCUCAGUCGACUCUCCCCGCCGUCCACUCUCUCCCCUGCUCUCCCGCGGAAGCGCUUUUCCACGAAGUUGGCAUCUUUGCAUCUCCAAUUUCUCACCUUGUUUUUUCCCCAGUUUUCUCCUCGCUGGUGACGAAUCCUCUUCAUUUGAGCAAUACCCAUCUCGUUAAUUUUGUUCUAGAGUCUUAUUUUAGCUAGAUGUUGUUGCGGAACGAAUUGGUAGAGAAUCGAAUUAAAUGCUAUUUCUUUGGAGUACCCAAUUGUUAUCUAAUGCGAAUUCGUGAAGAACUGGUUCGAAUUGUAGCUUUGUACUAAAAAAGCUUGGAUUUUUACUUCAUAGAUCUUUUUUCCCCCCUCUUUUUCUGGCUCUACGAUCCGCCUUUAUCUCUAAUUUAUGUUUUGAAUUGCGUUUUGAUGCACUAGUGUUCAACAGAAACCGCAAAAAUGAUUUUUUUUUUUUGUUUUUUUUUGUUUGUACUCUUAAGUGAUAGGAUAUUAGUGAUUACUCGAACAAAUCCCCUCACAUGUUAAGAGAAAAGGGAUUAAUAUUGUUCAUCGUGAUUUUAAUCUCUAUGCAGAUGCCAGUCGACAAGUGUUGAGAAGCCUAGAACAAAAAGGAAUCUUUUAGACAAUGCAAGCAACCUUCUUACCAAUCUAUUGAGUGGGGGUAGCAUCGGAUCGAUGCCGAUUGCCGAAGGUGCUGUUUCCGAUCUGUUCGGCCGCCCUCUUUUCUUCUCACUCUAUGAUUGGUUUAUUGAGGUGCUCGCUCUUUCCGUCUUCUUACUCGCAUUGUGCCGCUACUGCGAUUCGGCUUUUACGCAAGACUUGUUUAAUCUGGCUAAAAGUUGUUCAAUUAUAACCUUUGUCGUUACGCUGUAAACUUCUUCAAUUCUUUCAGUCGAUCUUAGUUGAAUCUUGGAGGCACAUUCUCAAUAUGCUGGUGUGAUUGUCGGACAAGAUGUCUACUCUACAUUUCUGAUCUAGUUUUGCUCUAUUCUUGCAGCAUGGUUCUGUUUAUAAGCUUGCGUUUGGACCGAAAUCAUUUGUUGUCGUGUCUGAUCCCAUUGUGGCGAGACAUAUCCUUCGAGAAAAUGCAUUUGCUUACGACAAGGUCGGUCCGCAUAUCCUUGCUGUUGUAGUUAGUUGCCGUUGUUAAUUGGUGCUAUUCCUGUUCUUUCGCUAGGGAGUUCUUGCUGAAAUUCUAGAACCAAUAAUGGGAAAAGGACUUAUACCUGCUGACCUUGAUACGUGGAAAGUGAGGAGAAAAGGUCAGUAAGCUGUGGAAUUUGUAUAUAUUCCUUUAACAUCUUAUAAUUAUUUUGUAAUAUAUGGUACAGAAUUACUUGGUUACACGGCUUCAAGUAUAGACCCUCUCUUAUGCAUUCUCCUUUCGGUGUAUUUAUUGAUGCUGUUGUUAUCAUUAUUAUGAGAAUUUUGUGUGAUCUGAUGAGUGCAUACGAUGAUAUUAAUCGAACAUACAUUUUUUGGUGUUGUAUGCAAUAUAUCCUGCUGCGAACGUGAAUAAGGUUUAUUUAUGAAGAUUUGAGUAUCAAAUGGAAAAUGAUGUAAGCAUGUUCUGGUUGAUCCUUCUCAGUACUAAUCGACUCAUCUAUUUUGGUGCAUUGCAGUUAUUACUCCCGGUUUUCAUUCUCUAUUCCUGGAAACUAUGGUUAGAACAUUUACUAAAUGUUCGGAGAGAUCAAUAUUGAAGUUUGAGGAACUCAUUGAAAGAGAGAACCACGAUAAGAAAGCAAUAGAGUUAGACCUCGAAGCCGAAUUUUCAAAUUUGGCUCUCGACAUAAUUGGCUUGGGUGUGUUCAACUAUGACUUUGGUUCCGUUACAAAGGAAUCUCCUGUGAUCAAGGUGAAAACUGAAUUCAAAAAUGUUUGGAGAACCCCUUGAUGAGAAGCUUGUUUCAAAUAGAUUGAGUUAUUUCGGCUACUUGAACUCGGGAUUCAGUUCAAUCAAUGGCUUCAUUAACUACUGGGUAGUUACAUGCUAGCGGAUCCGCAGUUUUAUAUGUUGAAAUUGGGUAGAGCCAUUAAAUCUAACAAAAAUCAUUAUGACACUUAGGACAUCUAUAUUCAACUAACAGAAAUAAUUCAUAGCAAAACAAGUCAAGGGGUUUCUGAAGAUUUUUACAUAAAUUUAAAGUAAAUUCUAUUUCUUUUUAUGAUCUUUCUAUGAUGUGAUGAAGGAAUUUUUAACUUGCAACCCUGUCUCUCAAGACAGGCCGUAUAUGGAACACUCUUCGAAGCUGAGCAUAGAUCGACUUUUUACAUUCCUUACUGGAAUCUUCCUUUAGCAAGAUGGAUAGUUCCAAGACAACGCAAGUUCCAAAAUGAUCUCAAAGUCAUUAAUGAUUGCCUUGAUGAGCUAAUUAAAAAUGCAAAAGAGACGAGGCAGGUAGCAUGCUAAUUCGUAAACUUUUGCCAAUUUGUUUGUCUGUAGCCUUUUGAAUCAUAUUUAAGAAAUUUAGAAGAAUAAUGGAUCCUAAGAGGCUUAUAGUGAUAAUUAUAAAUUUUCCAAGAUUCUAGCUAUUAACUGGGGAGGGUGAAAGGGAUCAAAUUGUAGAAUAUGUAACUAAAAUUCCUGUAGUUGCUUACAUAUAUUCUAGUCUAUUUAAAUACCUGGUUGUUGCAGGAAGAUGAUGUUGAAAAACUUCAACAGAGAGACUACUCAACCCUGAAGGUUGGUUAGUUUUUCUCCGUUUAAUAAUGUCUCUCUCUAGAUUUUUCAGAUGAAAAUUGUUGCCUCAGGGACAGUAUGAGAAGUUUUUGGGAAAUCUAGUUGAAUUUGGUGCUGUUGCAUGUCUAAGUUUGCAGGAUGUUAGUCUACUUCGGUUUCUUGUUGAUAUGCGAGGUGCUGACGUCGAUGAUCGCCAGGUAAAUUUGUUUCAAUGCUGUACUAUAUUGAUGAUUAAAAGAGAGAAAUUUUUACAUGUACCCCUUAAAAAAGUUAUCAAAUUGCAUGUUUUCCCCCGUGAAAUCUGAAAUUUCAUGUCUGCCCUUCAUAAACUUAAUUUCUUACAUAUUACAAAAACACCCCUACAAAAAAAAAAAAAAAAAAAAACUUUGCUAAUAAGAAACCAAUUUCCUCUGGCAGUCGCCAUGCUCCCCCCAACUUAAGGUUAUAUUUGCAAGAAACUGCACCUUCAAAGGGUAUAUAAAUAUAAAUAGAUGAUUUUGCAAGGACAUAUGCAUCAAAUCCCCUAAAGAAUUUUAUCACAUCAAAUUUGUACAAUUUUAUUGUAUUUUGCACAUUUCUCUAGUAGCUGUUAACAAAAAAUUAUGAUAAACAGCUUAGGGAUGAUCUCAUGACAAUGCUUAUUGCGGGACAUGAAACAACUGCUGCUGUUCUAACAUGGGCUACUUUUCUACUUGCCCAGGUACACUAUUUUCACACAAUCAAUCUGCAAUUCCUAGCUUUUAUUGCAGCUUCUUAAAGUUAAAUAGGUUGUAUCUAUAUGCAUGAAUAAUUUGAAUUUACGUCAUGCAGAACCCAGCAAAGAUGAGAAAAGCUCAGGAAGAGAUUGAUUCUGUAAUUGGUGGGGAGGGAAUAACUGCCGAGUCCCUCAAAAAGUUGGAGUAGGUUAUCAAUCUUUUUCAACCUAAUUCUCUUAAAUUAACGAAGCAAUAGUACUUAUUCUCUUCCAUCAUAAAUAUUUCAGCUCUAAUUGCCAUUUUAGUAACAAACUUGGAAAUUUUUGUUGUCUUAUAAUGUGUUGAAACCUUUUGAGAUGCUCACAUCUCAAGCCAUCGUUUCGUAUCUUGUACCAGUUGAUCUGUGUUAUCCUUGGCAAUUGUUAUGGUCAAGGAGAUGAGCACAUAAAUGAGGAUUAUGGUUUUCCGUGCAUGUGUACACCAGCAAAUGUGUGAAACGGCACGAAUGCCAAAGUCAGUAUUUGCACACAUGCCUCUGGAGACCAUAUUUACUGACAUUUCAUACCCCUGCUAGGUGUAUAUAUUGGCAAAAAAGCAUUUUUACUAGACGCCGCCAGCAGGGGUGCACGAAAAACGGUGCGCAAAAAUGCUAACUUUGCAUGGCAGUGUUGCGAUUUCAGGGUUUAACAUUGCAGAAAUCUUAAGAAUGACUUCAGGAACGAACUCACUGAUUAUUUUAAUCUGUCAUGUAAUGUAAUAACUACUUGUGAAAUGAUUUUCUUUUUCCAGCUAUAUACGACUUGUCAUUGUCGAAGCCCUUCGGUUAUACCCCCAGCCACCUCUACUAAUUCGGCGUGCUCUCAAACCAGAUAAAUUGCCGGGUAUAUUCUUCUUUUACCAAUUAUAUGAAUUACUUUGUUUGUUGUUUGGUGAUUAGGGAUUUUUUUUCGGUUUCUAUCUCCUUGUUUAAAUGUAUUUGUACUUCCGAAGUGAAUCUUUUUUGCGGAAUCAGAGAAGCACCGAUUUCUUUCUCCUUUAUGUUGACUUGACAAUGAAUUUUUUUUUUUUUUCCUUUCUCAUUCAGGAGGAUACAACGGCAAUAAAGAAGGAUAUGAAAUACCUAGGGGAACAGAUAUAUUUGUUUCGGUUAGUCGAGUAUCAUCUUACAGAAAUAUUUGGUUAUAUUCUUGCAGAAGCUCUCACUUUCCAUGUUUCCUUGAUGUAUACAUUCACGAAAGAGACCAUAAUGCUAUAGGUAUACAACCUUCAUAGAUCACCGUACUUUUGGGACUGGCCGAAUGAAUUUGAACCGGAGAGGUUCUUAGUUCCGAAAGGAAACGAAGAUAUCGAAGGAUGGGCAGGUUUCGAUCCGAGCCGAAGCCCCGGAGCAAUGUACCCCAACGAGGUUAAUACGAACCUCCUCCCUUGUGGUUUAGCUCUAGCAGCUUCGAAUUUCUAACUGAUGUGGCAAAUUUAAUACAUGAUCAGAUAAUUUCCGAUUUCGCGUUUCUGCCGUUUGGUGGGGGGCCGCGCAAGUGUGUUGGCGACCAGUUUGCGCUCCUCGAAUCGACGGUAGCGUUGGCAAUGCUUUUACAGAAGUUUGAUGUUGAGUUGAGGGGAUCGCCGGACGAGGUGGAGCUGGUUACAGGUGCAACAAUGCAUACAAAGAGCGGCUUGUGGUGCCGGCUAAAGAAAAGAUCUUGAACGAACAAAGAUAAAGAUAAUGUGCACUUUCGAUCAAUGUUUUGUAAUCAUUCUGUGACUUCUCACAAUUGUAAUAUGAGAAACUUGUAGAGAAAUUUUCGUCGAAGUGCGCUGAGGAUAAAAAUUGAUGAAUCAGUUUUAAUAAUGGUAUCUGGUUUAUAUCUUGCAUUUUUUCCUCUUAGAAAGGUCUAGGUUUGAAGAGGAUCUUUUUUAUUUUUUUUCUUCCCCCUUUAAAGUUGUAUAACUAGAAAAGACCCAAACGAUGAAAAAAGCCACAAAAAAUGGAGUAAAAAAAAAGAAGCCUUGAAUGGCCUAAAUGAAAUAUUAUAUAGCAGAAUAACAAAGUGCAAUCUCAGCUACAAAAAGGCAAAGUACUCCAAUGAUUAACUCCAAAAUCACAAAGUGAAAAACAUCUGAUUUAAGCUGCAAAGUCUUAUGGCUGAAAGGAAAAUUCAGAGACUUAAUCAACUCUAAAACUCAAAAUGAGAAAAACGAUUCUGGCUGCGUCGCGGGCCUCAAGCUGCGGUGAAAGCCUUCUUCCCGCCGCCACCUGUUGAUCCGGCAGGAAUGACUUUCAAGACAUUGAACCUCACAGUCUUCGACAACGGCCUGAAAUGUAAGUAGAAAGACAACCAGAUAAGCAAUUGUUCCAUAGACCCUACUACACUCUUAUGCAUAGUGUUAACAAAAUUUAGCGUUGCGCCUGUUACGCAAAGCAUCAGCAGCUUCUCUACUCAGAAAGCAGCAGUCAAGCAUCUGGCAGACAAAAGUAUGAAGCUUUGACUACACAGGAUCUCCGCGAAAGCAACUUGAGCUUCUUUGAAGAGCAGGUCCAAAUACUACUAAUUAGGGCUACCAAGGGAUUACCUAGGACGAAAAACGAGCAACACGACUCACCUGCAUUGACCGAUAAUCACGUGAUCGCCUUCCUUCACACGGAAGCAGGGGGAUAUGUGUGCCGGAAUGUUGGAAUGCCUUUUCUCGUACCUGCAAUGAAAAGAAGAUAUUCCUCUUCAUUUUCAAGCUGCAAGUUGAAUAAAAUGGUGAGGAAGAAUAAAUAAAAUUUCCAGGUGUUGACUCGCCUUUGAUACUUCUUCACGAAAUGGAGGUAGUUUCUGCGAACGAUAAUAGUUCUGUUCAUCUUGGCGCUAUGGCAUGUUCCAGCUAAAAUGCGGCCUCUAAUGGAAACAGUCCCAGUGAAUGGGCAUUUCUUGUCAAUAUAUGUACCUACAUUGAAAAGAAGUUCAGGAUUACAUGGAAGUGCGGAUGAUUCUACAACUAUAUGUUUAUUAACAAACUAUGAACAGCAAUUAGAAGACGGCAUAAGCACAAACAACUCUUCGUCAGGCAAAGCAAAAACUUCACAAAGAACUUAACACAAUAAUUGUAGAAGCAUAACUAUUCAAAUGAGAUAUACUUACACAUAUCUCAUUCAUUCUGUAAUGGUAAUUUGUGCUAGUAAAGUACGGUCACAAAAACAUUAUGAGUGAAGGGAAUUUAUUCACUAAUAAAUUAGAUCGAAGCACAUCAAGAAGGCCAAAAGGAAGUGCAGAGAACUAAUAAUGAUAUCGAGUGGUAUAGCGUGAUAAUACCUUCAAUUGCUUCCCUGGGUGUCUUAAAUCCCAAGCCAAUGCUCUUCCAGAAGCGGUUCCCACCCUUACCGGGCCUCUUCCCCUUCCCAGACUUCUUGGAGCUGUAGCAACGCGUGCCAUUGUCAAACAAACAUAGUCCCGGAUAAAUUAACAAAAAUAUAUGUAGACAUAAACAAAAUUCUUACCAAAGGAAAACCUUUGGCUGCUUGAGGAAAGCUUUCUCCGUCUGCAAGAAAAGAAAAUGCAAGCAUAAGAAUUAUGGAAAAACUGCGGGUCCUAAAUAUGUUCUUCACGGACAAUUGGACAUAUCAGAUGAGGGGUCGUAGAAGAACAAAACAUUUAAUAAAUAGGAGAACUUGUUUCUUGUGCAACAGGGAAUUGACCAUCAGAGUUUACAAGUAAAUGAAGGAAAUAGAAUAAAAACAGAUUAAAGACUAUAAAUUUGAUUCAGAAGUACAAAGACCCAAUAAAUGCAGGUAAGAACAUCAUACAGAUUCGGUGUAAAGUUAAAAAAAAAAAGGGACAUAUAUUUUGAUCUAAAAUCACAUAUGGCGUAAUACCAAGUGGAUUAGCAAUAUAUCAAUCCACCAAAUCGUAAUGCCCUCAGCUAGAAAAGGAUAUACUUCCACUUCCCUAAACACAAUUAGAAGCUAGAUUACAUUGUAUACAAAUCAGAAAAUUCAUUUUAUUCUUAGUAAUACUACAAAAGUUCCAAUUUUUACAGCUAAUAAAGCAAUCAUACGAAAACUCACUUGAGAUCGAAUGGUGUUACCUAGAAGGUUACAUUAUCCGAAAAGAUCUAAUGAUACUAAGGAUAUGAUUCGGCUCCGUUACUCGUUCUCCAUGCGAAAGCAAACGUAACAGAUCGACGAAAAGCUAGGCUUUAGAUACGUGGAACGAGAGGGAGAGAGGACGAAGGAGCUCACCUGUUCCGCCAUUGUUGAUGGGGGGAGAGGGAGAGGGAGAGAGAGAGGGGCAAAGGGUGAGGUGCGGCGGGGUUAAGGAGAGAAAAGUGCAAGGGGGAAAACCCUAAUUUUUAUAGCGAGCGCUUUCGCUCGGAGUGUUAUCAUAAGAGGCGCACGGAGUCGGAGUUAGGGUUUUACGUUAGCGGGCUUAACCUAAUGGGCCUCCAAAUUAGCGUAAACGGGCCCAUAUAAUGAUUUGGGCUAGCCGAGUACCAACAAAAGGAGACUCUAUCAUCCACCGUUCAUCUGUUGGGCUGUACGGAUCUUAAAGCCACGUGAACGGUCGAUUGCAGUGUCUCACGUGAACGGUGGAUUGCAGUGUCUCACGUUAAAGACCGUCCCACCAAAAGGUACCGCUCCCCAAGGAUGAGACCCACCUCCCUCUCUCUCUCUCUCUCUCUCUCUCUCUCUCUCUCAAGAGGCGAAGAAGAAGAAGAACGGGGUUUCCACCAUUUCUCUCUCCCUCUGUCUCUACGCCACAAGGGAAAUGGUGGGCGCGGUAGCGCCAUGGAUCUCCAAUACCCUCUCGGCCUCGUCUCUUCCCCCUUCUUCUUCUUCUUCUUCUUCAUAUUCUUCUUCUUCUUUCGUGUCGAAUUCGAGGAAUUCGAUCGCUUUGUUCCCCGAUCUUCCUCCAGCGAGUAGAAUCUUCGUCCGGAGUAAGCGAUUAACCUUUUUUCCGGCUUAAUUUUUUUUUUUUUGGCAGCACAUUAGCUCCUUUUCAAUCCCAAUUUAUUUGAUUUGAAUCUUAUGUAUUCCAUGGUUUUGUAUAGAUUUCUCAAAGACUCAGAUUCUCACAUUUUAGUCUCUUCCUCAUACGAUCGCCCUCUAAACGCUGCUCUUAAGUUGAAAAUUUGGUUUCUGCUGUAGAAUUAGGAUUGAUUUUGCAAAAUUUUAGUCCAUGAAAUUUGACGCUGACUCUAAUUUGGUCGGAGUCUUACUGAGUUUGGAUUGGAACAAUUUAGUCCUCAAAGUUUGACAUAGAUUUCACUUUCGUCCAUGAAGAUUGACCUUGAUUUCAAUUUCGUCGUCAAAAUUUCAACUUUACCAAGCAAAAAUCUAAUGCGAGUACUAUGAAGAUAAAAUUGUUAUGAAUGAAGCUAUGAGGGGGCGUAAAUUGACUAAGUCGGAUAGUUUGAGCAAUGUUUCUUUUUUACUUUCGAAGAAACUGAACCUGGAAUACGCCUAAAUUGUACUCGUACUGAUUCCCGAAUAUGGCCAAUGUUUAAAGCCAUGCUUCAACACCAAAAACUGUCAAUUGCACAAAUUGCAAAGAUUACAUCAUUAUUGUGUUUUUUACCUACAGGGUCUCUAAUGUUAUGUAAAUUUUAAUGUGCCAAUGUACUACAGAUAUUUCAUAUUUUACGGGUGAAGCUACUCUCAUCAAACUAUUCUCGAGGUUUGGCCGGAUUGUGGAGGGUGCGUUUUGCUGCUUCAUUACUAUCAUUUAGGGGUUGUGAUAAUCGUGGCUCAAUAUAAACCCGCUUUUUUUUUGGCAGUUAAACUCGCUAAACAUGAAGAUUCGAAGAGGUCGAAGGGUUAUGCUUUCAUUCAAUACGCGUCUCAAGAUGAUGCCAUUUCAGCAAUGGAGCAAAUGGAUCAAAAGGUCCACUUCCCAGAACUUUCCAUUUUCUUUCUAAUCAUUCCAAGCGAUCAAAUAAUAUUUACACCUAAACUGCAUCCCUAUCUCAAAAGUGCGUCCGAGAAAUGCAUCGUCAACCAACGUAUGGUUUUAGUAAGAAAGUUUACAUGGCUUGGGUUUACCAUUCUUUGAUUUCAGGGUUCUUUGGUGAACUCGUUGAACUUCUUAGGUACAGAACGUAGAAAGCCUCCGUGAACUCUAGUGCUGUUUUUCUAUGCCACUGCCUUAAAAAUUACGGGAACAAACUGAUUUCGAUCAACCACCUAACCCGAAUUUUUAUCACUUUUUUGAAACUGCCGUUAGCAUGUGAUUGUCAUCUGACCUGUAAACUUCAGAUUGUACCCUUUUUGUGAAUACUGAGGUGAAUUUAAGGGCGAUUUGAGUUAUUUAGCUUUUAUGUGACUUAUGGUUGCGAAGGAAAACUGAAAGAAAUCAGCCAUAGUCCUCGAUUGAAAGAGCAAACUGUCCAUUUAAAAUUUAGGUGGUUAUCUGUAAUUGAGCUGAAGUUCCCUUCUACUUAUAUUGCAUUAUUCACAUGUUGGUACUAUAACUUAUCUUCUCUUUUGUCGCUUUCGUUUUAUCUUUUUACUUCUCUUACAAGCAUUAAAAAUCAAUUGCUCUCCUCUCCUUUUUCUUUUUUCCAGAGAAUUGAUGGUAGGACGAUCUAUGCUGAGAUUGCGAAGCCAGUGAACAAUGGAUUUGCUGAUUACCCAAUUACCUCGGGCCCACCCUCAGGGCGAAAUCAGCAACCCAAUUGUUUUAAGGAUCAUUCAUAUGAGGAAGAUGCUGCUUACGCUAGUUGAAUGAAGAUAUAUAAAUCGCUUCAUAUUUGUGCUUGAUCUGGAUCUAAGUUCUGCAAUAGAAGCGCAACAGCAACUGCAAUGGAGGAUUCAACUGCAGUUCAAACUGAAACUGGGGGCCUUAAAAGUUCAUUUCAAAGAAAGCAAGGAGAAAAAAAUCGAAGUUACUCCGCCUCUAACAAAACCUGCUCUGUGCACAUAAAUGCCCGCAUUGAGGCCUGCGUUUCUUCAAUUUUGCUUGGACGAAGAAAUUAUUUGUAAAAAUGUGUUCCAACAGAUUUUAUUUGUCAACCACUUUGUUCUCUUCCUUUUGUGAGAAUGCGAUGCUCGAAUAAUAUAAUGUUGCUUCUAAGUAGUUACUUAAAACAUUAUUGAAUCACUGUUUUGACCGAAGUCAAUUGCAUUGGAUGAUUUAGGCUUCGUUUGGAAUUGCAGGGAAAUUGUAUUACGUGUGGUAAAAAAGUACGUUGAAAAAUUAUUAUAUUUGUUUUCGUACGUAAUAUUGCGUUCCGUAUAUCGCGAUGAGUCGGUUACGAUAUAUUUUUUUUUAGUUUUACCGAAAAACGUAAAAAUAUAUUUCUAUAUAUUUUUAUCUUAAUUCUAUUUUAUUUAAUAACGUCAGAUAGGUCUUAAUGCCAAUCUAAGUCUUAAACAAAUAAGCUUAGAUAUGCGAAAAAUUUACGCGUCAACUAUAUUUUUCCGAUUUUGUGUCGUUUAAAAUCCGAGCUCUAUUGUGACUAUAAAAUAAGUUGAAAUAAAUAAAUCAUUUUACAGUAAAAAGAUAACAUGAUAAAUUUAUAAUUCUAAUAAAACUAGAAUCUUUUACUGGGACAAUUAAGUUAAAAAAAAGGGGUUACGUGAUGAUGAUACAAUGAUUAUCCACAACAUGUUAUGACGGGGAUAUAGAGAUAAAUAGAUUACUGUACAGGGGUAUAUAUGUAAAUAUGUAAAACAUUUAUUUAUUUUAAAAAGUAAAGUCGUAAAAGGUAUGUCGGGGGCCAUAGGAGAAGGCAACAUCGUCGUGCCUCUUCUCUUUCUUCGUCUUCGCUCGUGGACUCGUACGAGUCUUCCUUUUUCCUCUCUUCACACCCCGCGACUUCGAGCUCCUCUAAUGGCGGAAGCGAAGCCCCAAGAGGAGACGGGGAAGAAGACGAAGGCGGAGGGACCAGUGGCGGAGGCGGCGGAGGGGGAGAAGGAUCGACCCGUCCGAGUCUACGCCGAUGGCAUCUACGAUCUCUUCCACUUCGGCCACGCCCGAUCCCUCGAGCAAGCGAAGAAGCUGUAGUUUUGCACUCAAGCCCUCGAAUUCUCUCUAAUUUCUCUAGUAUUGCUGUAGUGUUAUCCCUAUCUGCUUCCGUUUGUUAUGGUUGUUACCUUUACUAGUGUUGAGUUUUGGUGAUCUGUGAUUGUAGAGGAUUUUUUGGGUUUUAUUUGCGAAAUUUCUCUCCUCUUUGGUGGAUUUGUGAAUAAUUCGAAGGGAUUAUAGUAGGUCUUAGCCUAUAUUUUCUGAUCUGGGCUUCUUUUUUUGUUAGUUCUAUUUCAAAAUUUUUGGGUUUUUCCUCUUUUUUAGAUUGCGUAUGUGUGUAGAUCAGGUGAAUUAGGGCAUAAUCAUUGUUUGUGUAGGGCCCAAGUUCGGUUUUUUACUCUUAUUUGGAAAAUGGUGAAGUUUCUGUUUUCAUGAUUUUAGGGAGUUGGAGCUUACUAAGAUUUGGAUGUUUGUAAGUUGUAAGUGUUAGGAAGCAUGUCUCUUUCAAUGUUUUACUUUUGUCCCUUGGGCUAUAUACUGAUUAGCUAAAAAUUAAGCAAAAAUAAUAUGAAAAAAGAAGUGAAUUGGGUAUAGGCGUAUGUUUCAGUGCGCAAUAAGCCAAUAACACGAAAAGGAUUGAAGAGAUCGGAAAAGGUUUUUUUAAGUCUAAUGUUUCAUCUAGCUAUUGUAAUGAUGCAUGAUUUUAUUGGUUGAUUAUUGGAACUCUUUACUACAAACUCCAAAGUUCUUGUAGCUCUAUAACAGUGAAAAAAAUUCUGCAAUAUGCUGACGAAAAUUGUAUUUGAGAGCUGACAGUUCUGAUUUUUUAGGUUUCCAAACACGUAUCUUCUUGUUGGAUGUUGCAAUGAUGAAUUGACACACAAAUUUAAAGGGAAGACUGUCAUGACUGAAUCUGAGCGAUAUGAAUCUCUUCGGCAUUGCAAGUAUUUUCUUUUGCUCUUUUCUUUAAUAACGUUUUCUUUAUUUCUUUUUUUCGGUUUUGUUUUUUUUUUAUUCGACGACUUAGUUGCACUUUUAUAAUUUUCUUAAAACUUAAUUUUGUGAAACAUAUUGUAGUUUGGAUAAUUAUCCAAGCUGUUUAUAUAAGAUGAGCAUAUUAGUAUUUGAGGUAAAGAAUAACCCCUAUAUUAUAUGUUCAUAUCCUUUCUACGUUGUACUUAUUUGUCUAGAAGGUUUCAAGUUCUUUUGACAAGCAACUUCCUUAUGAGCAUUCACAUUAAUUAGAUAGGAUGUCAUAUUUAGCUGGUAGAAACAUGUCGAGGAUUACGAGAACAAUAUGCAAGCUGGUCAGAAGAAAAUACAUUACUAUGGAACAAGAUAUAAAAGAAAUUUGUAUCAAUAUAUCCCUUUCGUUCUCUUCUUUGACCUAGGGUUCUUUACUGUCAGAGUCAUCCCUAUUCUUCUAUCUCUUGUUGCGCAUAAAAAGGUUUGUUGGCCUUGAAUAUAGAGAAGUAUGAAAGUUACCUUAAAAUCUUCAACCUGGUUGUUGUUUAUCUUUGUGCUUUGAAUUCGCUUAUUGGGUUCUUGGGAAAUGGUUAUUUAAACUGAAGUUGGGAAAAAAAAAGGAAAUUAUGGUUAUUUAAACUAAAGUUGGGAGAAAGAAGGAAAUUAUUGUUAGUUCCAUAAUAAAUGAGAAACCAAUCACCUGUUUUUACUUUGGGGGAAAAAAAAGGACCAAUAAUUCUUCUGGGCCUUCUCUAAAUCUGAAAGUAUUUGUAAUGUACAGCUGUCAAUUUUGUUAUCUUGGCAGAUGGGUUGAUGAAGUUAUUCCUGAUGCUCCUUGGGUUAUCACAAAAGAGUUCCUAGACAAGCACAAGAUUGACUAUGUAGCUCACGACUCACUCCCGUAAGGUCACCUGGACCCUAUUACAUUUGUUUGAUCUGUAUGUUUUAUGAAGGUAAAAAUGUAUAAAGACCCACUGUGCAUGGGCCGUUAUGAAAUAGUCCCCUCAAUUUUUUUUUUUUGGGGGACAACCACUCAACUUGUGAUUUUUUUUAUUUGGCUAUUCUGUCAAUUGAAUCAGGGAUUUUAUUGAAAUUAAUAGCUCCUUUAACUAUUGGUCAUUACCGGAACCCAUAGUUCCAUUGCUCGAAAAGCAGGUAAAACUGUUAAAUUUGAUAAAAUUGCUAUUAGAUUUUUUGGAAUAUCUAAUUCAACUUACAAAAAUAAUUCGAAAUAAAAUAAGCAAAAGUUGAGGGGUGAGAAGCAAAAGAAUAAGUCUCAGGCCUAUUUCAUUAUACAUUUUUACCCGUUUUGUUGAUAGCAAAGAGUUGAAACACAGAUCUUGCUGUUUUACUCCAUGCUUUGUGUAUCCAAUUAUAAUUUGUUCCUCUGAAGCUUAUGUGCUUGUUGUAAAUGCAUGUGAAUGAUGGACGUUAUAUAUAGUUAACAUAAAAGUUUUUGCAUUCCCUGUUUGAUGAGAAUUAAACAUUUUUCUUUUUAUUUGUUUCUAUCCUAUCUACACAGAUAUGCCGAUGCAAGUGGAGCUGGCAACGAUGUAUAUGAAUUUGUGAGUGUCAGUUGCUUGUUUCCAUCUAUUCGUGUUGGCUAAAAUGUCAGAAACCCCUUAAAUAUUCUCCCCUUGAGAUGUCAAAACCUACAUUUUACUCCAGUGCAUGGAGAAGUUAUAGUUUAAGGAGGUAACAUAUAGAUGUUCAUAUUUCAAGUUGGAAAGUGAAAAUAAUGAUAUUUAAUGGAAGGGUAUCCCGCAUUUAAGCCGUAGCUCUGUAUACAUUUUCUUCAUGAUUUAUUUUCAGUUGAUAUUGUUCAAGUUCAGCAUUAACUGGUCGAAUUUAAUAAUUUCAGGUUAAAUCAAUUGGUAAGUUCAAGGAAACGAAACGCACUGAUGGGAUAUCGACAUCUGAUAUAAUAAUGCGGAUCGUCAAAGAUUACAACCAAUACGUAAUGCGCAACUUGGCCCGAGGCUACACUAGGAAGGAUCUUGGUGUCAGCUAUGUAAAGGCAUGUGUAGAAUACGAAUUCUACAAUGUUUUCAUACGUGCGAAUAGUGAAGAUUAAACUUUAUGAUCGAAAUUCUUUAACUUUAUAAUAUGCAACGUGUGCUGGACUUUUUUUAAUAUAUAUAUAUAUAUAUAUAUAUAUAUAUAUAUAUAUAUAUAUAUAUAUAUAUAUAUAUUAGUUUGGGGCACUUGUUCUGAUGAUUUGGUUUUUCCAGGAAAAACGGUUGAGAGUAAAUAUGGGUUUAAAGAACCUGCGUGACAAAGUGAAGCAGCAACAGGAAAAAGUGGGUGAGAAGGUACAUUUUUUCUUUCUCCACCAUGAAUUUUUUUGUACAGAGAAAAAGGUUUGGUUGUGAAACACUUUUGAAAUCCUGAAUUUAGUGCAUGCAUGUUUGGAUAUUAGUAAUAAGCCUAAAAUCGCAUGAAGAUUUUUGGAGGAAAAGAAAAAACAAUCUUUCUAUUCUCUUUUGAUGUUUUGGCGUUCUCAUGGAAUAAUGUGGUUUCACCAUGUUUUUGGCCCAAUUGUUAGUUACUUUUCACAUGUCAAACCAAGUGUCCUACGGAACUGUGCUCAAGUUUUAUUCUCAAUUGAGCGGGACGUGCAUGUGUUUGUCCUAUGAGCAUCUUCAUAAUAAAAUAAAUUAAAAGAGUGAUAAUAGUACUAGAUUUAAUUAUGCACUACAAUUAAUUUGGAGAAUAUAAAUAUUUUGUCAUACCAAAGUAAUUAUACAGAGGUACAUGCCAUGAAGAACAUGAAAAAGAAAAUAGAGUAUGUUUCUUUUAAUGUCUUAAUGUUCUGUUUGGUUAUUCGUGGGAUCUUGGCUUUCAUUUAUGUUGAUUGUAACCAUUUAUGGACUCGUGCAGUUGCACACAGUUGCAAAGCUUCACGAGGAGUGGGUCGAGAAUGCGGAUCGCUGGGUUGCCGGUUUUCUUGAGAAAUUCGAGGAGGGAUGCCAUUCAAUGGUGAGUAAAAAAUUUACCCCAUAACCCUAAAAUAAUUGCCAAUUUCCGCUAACACAGCAUCUAGAUCAACUUUGGCACUGAAAAUUUCAUCAGGGAACGGCCAUCAAAGAGCGAAUCCAGGAGAGCCUCAAGAGGGGGCAAUCGAAAGAUUUCAGUUUGCUUCAGUACGAGGAGGAAUAGUGCAAAUUCGUGUUUUAUGUACGCCUGUAAAUCACAUAGCUGUGAGUUGAUUAUAGGAGAACGCCUCUGCGAAAAACAUGUACUUUUGUUAGCCGAAACUCCCUCAUAACUGUUGUGCACUUCAAAACCUACAUACUUAGUUGCUGGGUUUGUUGGAUUAUUUUCUUUGGAUUAUAGGUGAAUAUGUUUGGUUCUAUUAGACCUAUGCUUUUGUUUACACUGGAGCACAGGUACAUGAACAUUUGAGUUUGUUUGAUUCAUCUAGCCUAACAUACUCUGCAGCUAGGUCAAACUUUACUAUUUUCAUCUAAUGUGUUUCUUUUGUUUUACCUCCCUGAAGGAUGAAUCAAGUUGGUGGUGAUAUCAAUCACAUGUAUUGGUCUGUGAUCGAAUCCAUCAUGCGAAAUGUUGGCUCAGGUGCAUUGAAUUUGGUAAAAGCUUCUCAGGUUCAGCGUACCUGGACGCAAUUCUAGUUCUGCGAAAGUCAGGUUCGCCAGAGUGCGACCUGUUUGCCAUUUACUGUAGUUUUGCAAGUGGGUCAUGACUCUUCUUUUCCGACGUGGUGUCGUCUCAAAGGACAUGUAUUUAAAAGUUUUGUUGACGUAGAAAGUUAAAUUGAACUUUUUUUUUUUUUUAGUAUCUAAAAUUAGCUUUUACUGGUUUUGUGAAAAAAAAAAAAAAAAUCUGCAUUGUAUCAUAUCUGGAUACUCUAAUCGGUGCAGUAACUUGAGUAUCGCGGAGGCUUUCGUAUUUCUAAGUUAUUUUCGAUAACGAAACUUUUGAAUCGACGAUACUGUAUUUUAAGUAUUUAAAAAAUAAAUUAUGAUUUUUCGAUAUCAUUUACCUAAUAAUUAAAAGGGCUCAAAAAUCAAUUGUUAUAAAUAAAAAAAAUUCAUAAAAAAUUUAUCAUAUAGUACUAAAAUUGAGAUAUUAAUUUUGUUGUAGAUAAUAUAAAAAAUUUUCUACCAAAAUUUUAUCCGUCUUGAAUAUUUUUAUAUUGUUAAACUUACAAACGGCACACCUCAAUCAUUAAAAAUUAUUAAUUCUAAAAUUUUCAAAUUAUUAGACAAUCAUAUUAAAAAAUUAAAAAUUUAUUUUUAAAAUAUUUUAAAAUAUGUUAGAUUAAUUUUAAUAAAGCUGAUCCUCGAUCAUCCCAAACAGCUCAGGAGGACAUCCUCUAGUCGUAGUAAAUAUAUAUCUACUCACUGUGAUAAACGGAUGAUGAGUCUUCAGAGGCAAAAUCGACGGUGGAUGUUAUGCCACGUGGGCCUCGACGUGCGCCAUUUUGCACGUUAUCAUCAACCAACCACAUUUUUUCCCACGCUCCGUUGGGAUAUCCAAAACCACUCAAAAACUCUCCUCCCNAUGCAAACUAGUUUUAUUACUUCUACAAUAGUACCUGAAAAAUACCAUACAUUUGCUAAACUCUCCUCCCCCUCUCUCUCUCUCUCUCUCUCUUUCCAAACAAUGGAAAUUUCCAGCUAAAAAAAUAAACCCAAAAAACCAGGAAAAAAAAAAAAAUGGCGUUUCUCCUUCCCAAUCUCUCCGCUCCCCCUCUCCUCUCCCCUUACCCUAAUCCUUCCCCAAACCCCCACUCAAAACCCUUCCUUUUCUCCUACUCUUCUUCUUCCUCCUCCUCCUCCUCUUCGUCCCUUCUCGUGCGCGACGCGCUUCAGGAGAAGCCCCCGAAGCUGCGGGAGAAGCCCCCCACGCCGCACCGAAGCGAAGAAUCCGAUCGAAUCGAGAAGAGGAAGGAGGAAAAGGACGAGUUUUACCUCAACCUCGGCGUCGCCGUUCGCACCCUCCGCGACGACCUCCCCGCCCUCUUCGUCAAGGACCUCAAUUACGUCAUCUACCGGUGAAAUCCCUAAUUCCCACUCCCCCCAAUUCAGUUUUAAAUUUACGGAUUUUGGUUGUUUUUAGACGAAAUAUGUGUGAACAACUCCUCGAUUACUCUUGGUUUGUUUUGAUUAAACAUGUUCUUAUUCGAUAUAUUGAGCAUCUUAUUUAGUUUGGGAGGGAUUUCAUUAAAUUUAAUGGCUUUGCUAGAUUUUGAGCCGAGGGAACUGAUAUUUAUUAACAUUUAAUAGCUGGUAGCUAAUGAAAUUGUUAGUUUUAGUGAAAUCCAAAAUCAAAACAAACAAAAUUUGAAUAGGUGUUAAUAAAAGAAGAAGAAGAAGAAGAAGAAGAAGAAGAAGAAGAAGAAGAAGAAGAAGUUUCGGAGUGUAUUUCGAAAGGGUCUAUAAUUGAGCACUAAGUUUUCUAUAGUUCUAGUUCGAGUUAUUAAAUAGUAAGAAAUAGAAAUUAGUUUGUCAAUUUCAAAACAGCAAACGCCCCAUUUUGGAGCUUCUUGAUUAAGCUGUAGAUAGAAGUUGCUGGGGUGAUCUCAAUAGUGCUUAUCCCAAUAACACUACUCGGAUAGUAGUUCAUCAAACAACGGUACACUGUACGGUAGUGCCAAACAGGCUCUAAGUCACAAUAUCGAGAUGCGACAGGGACCAUCAUUUUAUCCUAUAAACGCAAUUCCUGUUUUCCUAAUUUUGAGUGUUCCAUUCUUUCUUGCAGUGAUGAUAUCACAUUUGUCGAUCCGCUAAACACUUUUAAAGGUAUCGAGAACUAUAAAUUGAUCUUCUGGGCGCUCCGAUUCCAUGGCCGCAUCCUGUUUCGCGAGAUUGGGUUGAAGAUAUUCCGUAUAUGGCAGCCAUCAGAAAACAUGAUCUUAAUCCGGUGGGAGCUUCAUGGGGUGCCGCGUGUUCCGUGGGAGGCAGAGGGGAGGUUUGAAGGGACCUCACGGUACAAGCUAGAUCGAAAUGGGAAGAUCUAUGAGCAUAGAGUUGAUAACUUGGCGCUGAAUUUCCCUCGUGUAGCCAUGGGGCCGAAGACUGUGCUGGAUUUGGUCAUGUGCCCACCGAGCCCCAAUCUGACAUUCGGGAAUGGCUCGUGCUCAUGGGUUGAGCUUUACCGGGCAGUGAGGGGAACUUUGGAGGAGGAGGAGAAGGAGGCAACAAUUGAAGGAUUGGUUACUUGUUCAUAGUUUAAGGAGUAGACAGAAGGAUUAGCAGUGUAUAUAGUAGAGAUGGAGAAACAAUGUUUUGGUGAGUUGGUACAAGUGACAUUUAGCAAAUGUAUAUGACGAGGUGCUCAUCUUCUAUACUCUCUUCUCAUUCAUAUAAUAAAAUUAUAGUGCAAGGAUUGCUAUAUCUAUGCAUGUUAUAGCAAAAAUAUAAGGUAUACAUUAUGUAUUCUCUGGGUCUCGUGGUAAAACAUGUUUAAUCUCGAUAUAUGCAAAUGUGAUCCAUGUGGAUAUUCCAAAAGACUUUAUGAUUGAAUUUGACCAUAUGAUGUCUCGGGAAGAAACCAUCAACUUAAUUCUAGCUCUCCAUCUAAAUGAUGGUGCAGAACAUUUUACAUAUUAGUUCCCUUGAUAAAAUCAGAUCAUUAAGCUAACACAUGUUUUGUAGUAAGUUGCCUGGAUUAUUUGAAGAAGACCGUAAAACUUCUCUUUAGCUGCAUGGAACUUAUAACUUUAGUUCCAUUCCUCCAUUUCUUCAAUUCUAGCGCAUAAUUAUUAUACAGAAAGAAGCCCCAAGAAUUAGUUCAUUGGUAUGAUUUGUUAUUGGGCCUUUGUUCGAAAGUUUUUGUUCAGGAAAUGAGUUCAAAAUUACAAUGAAGCAUGUCAGAUUUUGCCUGAGUUCUCACUAACUUAGCCAUUUGAUGCAAAAUUCUAGCCUUCUUCAUAAAGGCCUGUGCUCGCCUGUGAAUCAACAUGCUAUAUCGCUAAAAGUGUAAAUACAUAAUCGAUGCUUUAUGCUUAAUGGCUGCUUAGACUGUUAGAAAUAGUGGUAUCUAAAGUUUUUUUUUUAUUGUCCUCGGCUUAGUUUGGUAUUGAGGCUCAUCUGACACUAUUAGAUAAAAUGGAGUUGGGAUAAAAAUAUAUAAGGAUAUACUUCUGCGUUCUCCGGUGGGAUAGAAACCGACUCAUCGCGAUAUGCGGAACGCAAUAUUACGUAUGAAAACAAAUAAGAUAUUUUCCCAUCAUACUUUCUCACCGCACGUAACGCAAUCUCUCCGCAAUCCCAAGCGAAGCUCUAGUCAAGUUGUAGAGUUUAGAAAAGUGCUUUCGUCAUCCAACUUUCUGGAAUGUUUUUGAUUAACUAUUUUUCUUCGUCAUUGUCAAAUAUUUCUUUUUCUUUUUUAUGGAGAAUCAUCAGUAUUAAUUUAUUCAUUUCCUCUACCUAGCGAUCGAAUCUCUCUCUGUAACUAGAAUGUGAGAAUUUGAAUAAUUUGAGUUUAAACUUUGUAGAAUAUUCAUUUUCUGUACAUAAACAAUAUUUAUAUCCCACAACCAACAUUGGCCGCACAUCUUAUUAAGUGAUUGACUAUUUGUGUGUCAGUUGUAACAAUAGCAGAGAAUUCAAUGUAUCAAACUUCUCAUAACGAAUAACUAAAUUACGUUAGGUUCUCAGGUAGACAUUCAUGAUGAAGCAGAUCAAACAUUAAAACUAUUGAAUGACGAUUGCAUAUAUAUGUUUAAUUAGGGUAUCAUGUUAAAGACGAGAAACAAGCGACAGCAAUACUGAUGCUGGUGCUAUCUUGUUUUGUGUGCUUAUUGGUGAUUUUCUUUCCCUUUGCUAUAUUGUUUCUAUCAAAGUUGGAAGAUUGAUAUUUUUAAUUCGGCUGAUGGAACUCUAGCUUGAAUGUUGAUGUACUGCAUAAGUUUUCUUCCUGGUUGGGUUCGAUUGUGCUUGAUUGUUUCUUCGCCGUCAUAACUUGUAUUCAGGCUCACUGGAUGAUUGGAUCGUAGGUUUCUUGAUACCCUAGUGUAUGUUUUUUUGUUUUUUUUUUCUUUUUACUACUCAGAAAAGAAUUUUAGCUUCUGAUAAGUUUCAUUUUAUUCAAGCAAAUCACAAAUUCCUUGAAAACUAAAAGCACAUAUUGAUAACUGGCUGUACUUGGGCAAAUUAUUUGCCAUACAAUUAUCUCUAGGCUACCCUUAAAUUUCUUUCUUUAAAGCUUGAUUGGUGAAUUGGUGAUGUGUGAUCCGACAUGUAAAUUGCGAUUACCAAUUCCUUUACUUAAGUAUUAAUAAGAAUCUUGUGGUUAUUUGCUGUUUCUGAUGCUGAGUUUGCUAUUGAACCUGUUAGAUAUUGGCUAAUUGAAAUUGGUAUUAAGAUAAUAGAUGGUUUGUGACUUUGCAGAAUGAUUUCAACUCUAAGAUAACAGAGAUGGUUUGGAGUUUCUGCUGUUGGCUUUAUUUUGUGUAGGUUGUUCGAAGAUAUCUCAGUACCAUGAAUUCUCCUUGGUUAAAGUGUGUUUAUUGUUUAUAUGCAGAAAAGUGAAAAAAGAACCCCCUUAAUUUUAAGGGCUUCUUGGUCAUGGAAGUUAUUAGUUAGAAUGAAGUUGGAGGUAACAACCUAUUUGUUGUCCUCCUCUCACAGGUUUUUUUUUUUUUUUUUAAAGAAGAAACCCGGGUAUAUGAACGUAAUUGUUUUAACCUAAUCAAAACAUUAAAAGAUACACAAGAUUCAGAGGCUCCUCAUCAACCAACAAAUAAUGAUUAAGGUGUCAUGUUUUCUUAAUGUGUGUUAUAUGUACCUGAGCAUGAACUACAUUAGGCACCCGUGUUUUAGCAUUCAUGUCAUUAUCGUGGUUACUAAUUAGUAAAUAGUUUACACGCACACACACAUUUCAUGGGAAACACUUUGUCUGCUUCUAGAACAAGUUUUUGAUCAGAAAUAGUACUUUUGCAAAACAUUGAAUUUCCGAAGGGCACAUUCAGAUUUCUCACAAAGAUAUGUAUAUGUAAACAGAUAAUUUGCAGAGAAAAACAUAUAUAAGUGUCCCAUACAUAGGCUCUUUUUUUUUUUUUUUUAUUCUGGAGGAGAGAUGAUAUGCUGAUAAAUUUGGUGAUAUAGUAUAGAAAGGAAGUUCACUGGAUGGUCUCAAGCUGUAAUUUUGAUGUGUCACAAGAUCGAGUUGCUGCAAUGUUGCUUUUGUUGUGUUAGCUCACCAACUUUUUUGGAAAGGAAUGCAACAAAUUAGUUACAUACUGCAUCAUUUUUGACUACUAUCUACUUUGUUAACUUAAACCAUAUGCAUAUGUGUUGAAUAUUUAUAGAUAGUCAUUGUACCUUUCUUUGUUUACUUGUUGCAGCAGAGGGCUCAACAACUUCACCAGCCUAUAUACUUGUUCAACAGAACCUAUUCAACAGAAGAGAGUAAGUAAGUCACUCUAUUUAAAAAGCACUUUUCUGAUUGACAUUGCCUGAUUCUUAAACCUGAACUUCAAUUUUAAAGUUUUAUUUUUAUAGUAGUCUGAAUCCAGUAUGUCAAAUCUUUGUCCACUGCUUGUGAUUCUGACUAAUUACACUGCAGAUUGCCAAAUUUCCUGUAAUGUUGAUCAUGUAUUACAUUUAUAUUCAGAAAUUUUUGGUGGGCUACAAACAUAUGCUUGAUUUUCUAUAGGGGCAGUUGUCCAAAAGUCAAAUAUCAAUAGGUAGGUUUACCGAAAGAAAAAGGAUUAGGACAAAUUUGGUUGCUUAACUGUUUCUUUCUACAACUUAAUUUACUGUACCUGAUGUGACUAGAGAAAAAGCUAUUUUCUUAUGAAAAUUUGCAUAGAAAACUUAAGUCCAUGGUACAGAUCUCUAAUGUGGCAUAGAGGACUCAACAUAAUACACAAUUUUUGCUGAAAAGAAAAUCACUAAAAGAGAUUUUUUAAAAAAAAAUUUAUUCAGCGGGGAAUAGGAGGUAAAUGGGAUGAAUAUAUUGGAUUAUUAAUAGCGAAAAUCGAUUUCAUACUUACAACCGAAACAUCAUUUGGGAUUCAUGUUCUUUGUAUGGUUUUUUUUUUCGACUUGCUUCUUUUUGUGUGAUUGAGAUGCUUUUUACAAACCAGCAUAUGCUAUAGUAUUUACUUGGUGGAGAAAUGUAAAUUAAUUACAAAGAUGUAAGCAUGGCUAAUAAUUUUAAGGUUAAAAUCUAAUUAUUCAGCAGUAGAGUUUGCAAAAUGUUGUGAGAUUUGUUUGUAAGUAAAGUAUUUUCUUUUGGAGAUAUCGUCACAUCUAAGAUCACCGAACAUCAUAAUCAGAUACCAAUUAAUUAAAUAUCAGUGGUUGGUAUAGACCGUAUAUAGGUGUGACUUUAUUUAUUUCUCAACAAUAAUAGUUAACAACUAACUACACUUUAUUGAUUGAAUAAUCUGAGCUUUGUUUAUAUUUCUUUUCAUUGCUUUAAUCUUAGUGGAGAUUUUAGUUGCCCAUUAAAAAUUUACCCCACAAAAAAAAGAAGAAACAGAUGUGGUUCUUUUUUUUUAUUUUCUUGGUUGAAAAGGAUGUGACAACCACCUUUUUUCUAGAAAUAAGAUCCAAAAGUUGUAUGGGCCCAAAUGUUAGGUUCUAUAACUUAGUGAAUUUGAAUUAAAAUAUUUGUUUUGGAUUGAAUUUAGUUCAUAUACUUGAAUCCAACUAUAUCAAUUAUGUUAGCAACUUUAUCAUUGCUCGAUUCAAUUGAAUUCAAUUUCUUAUAAUGAUUUAUUCUCUUUUGUAUUUUGUCGACAUAACAAUAAUAUAAAAAAGUCGAAUCCGUUUAAAAAAUAAAAAAAAAAAAAAUUAACCCCCACUCUGGUCGACCGCCACGUGGACAGUCGCCGGCACUACGACAUUGGACUCGACGACGACCUGGUUGCCGGACGUGUUCCGCAGCGCGUGGUACGGGAACGCCGAGUCGGCGAGCAACGAGUACUGCACGUGCCCGAUCCGGUCGGGAAACAGCAGCACCGGCGAGAAAUCGGCGGUCCACGUGCUCGCAUUCCCGGCCACCGACGCCUUUGCCACCGUCGACCGCACCGUCAUUCCGUCCGCCACGUUCCGGUCCACAAUCACCUGCUCGACGGUGGUGAACCCACCGUCCAAUCUUACAAUGUCGACACCCGCUCCGGUGCCGCUGAACAUGUUGUCGACGAUGUUGACGCCCUUCACCACACCGUUGAUCGACUUGAGCACGACGUUGGCGUCGCCUAGAAAGAAUGAGCUCGAUAUAUGGACCAAGACCGGGUCCUCCGACACGAUCCCGGUAUAAUCCAAAUAGCAGUUUGUGAUUCGGGUUUGGCUCAGACCAGGCGUUUUCAAAUAGAUCCCGGUCCCGCCCCAUCCGGUUGCCUUAUUGUAACAAUGCACCCCAGUAAGGGUGUUGGCCUCGCCACUUACUAGGAUUCCGGUGGCCGCCGAGAACACGACCACGUCGGUCACCGCAUUGUCGUUGCCCAUCAACUUGAUCCCCGUGCCGGUGAAGUUUUUCUCGCCCGGGUCGUUGCCGACGGUGAUGUGUUGCCCUAGGAAGCUGUUUCUGAUGAAGGUCUCGUGCCCGUUCUGAACCCAGAUGCCGUCGGUGGUGAAAUGGGUGAUGUAGCAGUUAUCGAUCGUCGUGCGGAUCGCGUUGACGACCGCGACUCCACCACCUCGGAAAUUGGAGUCUAGCAUGAGGCCGCUCAGGGUGAUGAACUCGUAAAGGGAGCUCGACGAAGAUCCGGACGCCCAGAGCUCGAUCAGGUAACGGUCGGUCGGGAAGUUAUCUGAAGCCCGUAGCGAGCCGCUAUGAAUCUAGUUUAAAGACGCACGUGUCAAUACUAACAUUAUGCAAUGCAUUUUGAAUUACGUGUAUAAAUCAAUUAAAAUCCUUCGUAUUACGCAUGUCAGUACAUCGGUGUACCUUAAAAUUGCCGCCUCCGGAGGCCGGUAAACUAAGCGGGGACGUGAGGACGUAGACGCCGCCGUCGAGGUCGACCUCGGCGCCGCCCAGAUCGGGGAUUCCGCUCAGCAGCGUUCUGCUCGUCGGGGGUCGGAACGCGUCGGCGAUGGCCCUCGCGAUCGCGGAGGUGGAGUCGGCGACGCCCGUCGGGUCGGCGCCGUAUUCGGUCACGUGGUACACACGUGACCCGGAAGCUUCCAAAUUCCCCUGCAACCGUCCAAUCCGUCUCGCAUCAGAAAAAUUUAACUUUUUUUCCAGUAAGGGGCACGCAUUCCGUGUAAUUCCGUGCAUACAAAAUUUUCAUACAUAAUAGUAAAAGUUCAAAUUUUAUGUAACAUCGCAAACUAAAAUGUUUAAGUAAAAAGUAUACGGAUACAUUCUACUCUUCAUCAAUUACCAACUACAAGGAGAAAAAAAGAGAGAUAACUGUUUGGCUCGACGAAGGCGGUUUCGCUGCGGCGAAGGAGGCGGCGAGGCUCUCCAUCCGCCGCGCCGCGAUAUUACGCCGCCGCUGAGCGCUGUCGCCGAUAGCCGAAGCAGCAGCAGCAGCAGCAGCAGCAUGAUCUGCUGCUGCAGCAACCAACAUCACCAGCAGGGCCAAAAGCCCAGCAACAAUUAGCACCUUAAUCCCCACCAUGAUAACACGUAUUGAUUCUCAAAUUCUCCUCUUUUUUAAUAAAAUCCCCCACCCCUGCACCUCUCCUUCAUCUCUAUCUACAUAGCCUUUUGUGUACUCUACACUUUCUAAGAGCCAAUCUAAGAGAAGGACAUAUGGAGGAAACAGGGAGAGAGUGAGUUUAUAUAUUUAUAUAUAAAACAUACGAUAUGAUGUGAUAACUAUAUGGACAUGUUAGUGAAUAGAAUAUUGCAAAGAGUGCAUGAGAGGAGAAAGGGUCAAAAAAUUAAGCUCUAAUUUUUUUUUUUUUUUUUUUGGGUUUCCAAUGUGAGAAGUUAAAGAUGUCCCAAGAUUCAAGGAAAAUUGUGGGGCCCUCUUUUGGUUUGAAAUGGGUCACUGUACCAAAGGAGGGGGUUUUGUGGAAAAUUAAUUUGGGUGGGGUGUUGGAUGCAACUUAGUUAUAAAUGCAAUGGGUGGGAGGAGUGGAAGCAAUGUGAAAGGAAUUAAUGAUGUACAUUGAUUGAGAAAGUUGCUUUGGCUUGUGGGAAUUAAUUCCUUCGCUUCGUUACCCUCCCUUCUUUUCUUUCCUCUCCUUGGGAGGCUUUUUGUUGUUGUUGUUGAUCUUUUCAUGUCCUUAAAUUUCUUUAUGUUUUAGGUGAAUAUACAUGACUUGGUAAAGCGAAGAGACCCCACCUAACAAAUAAGAUAAACGUUUUAUUUGUACAUCGAUAUACAACUUUGAAUAUUCUUACAUCUUCUCGAUCCUAAGAUUCACAAAAACUAAAUAAUAUUAGGAGAAGGCGAUGAAUCUUUUGAUGAGCAAGAUAUAUAAUAUGCACCCAGUUUAGAAAUGUACAGAUAAUAUUGCUCAACAAAUAAACCACUCCGAACAAUUUUUGAAUUUUUCUCUUUCAAAAAAGUGUUACCAUGUGCUUUUCUUUUCCUUUUAUUUACCUUUUCUUUCCUUCACUUUUUAUCUAAGACCACGGUAGGUGGUCCAAAGGAACACAAUAUCCUAUGCCCAUUAAUUGAUGCCAUAUUCUCUCUCUCUUUGCCCUUUUGCUGCAGGGCUCCAAAUGCUCUCUCUUUUUUCCUUGCUCUUUCUUUUUCAUUGCACACUAUGAUUUGGAGAGCAAUAAGUGAGAACUGAGUGGACCAAAUUCAAUGAUGCAUUGCACUCAAAAGUGGGCCUGAUUAAAUAAAACCAAGUUAGGAUCAGGCUUUCAAAACUAACCCAUUAUUUAUUUCUAUUCCUUAUAAUAAUUGUGUUAGAACACCCUCUUUGCAUGCUUCGAGGCUAGACUGGACUUUUUUCGAAAAUAAUCCUGUGAAAGUUCGUAUUUGCCAAACUAAUUCCGUAAAAUUUUUAUUUGUAAAACUAACCCUCCUUUCGCCACGUGGGCGCCACGUCAGGAAUUCCUCAAAAAGGCGGUGAAUCGUUCACCGUCUUUAUAAUUUUUGUUGUAAAAGCGGUGAAUGGUUCACCGUCUUUAGAAGACGGUAAACCAUUCACCGUCUUUAGUGCAAAAUUCUCCUUUCCGCCCUUUUUCCUUUCCGCCCUCUCAAGUCCGUCUUUUCUGUGCCCUCGAGAAGAUGGUGAACGAUUCACCGUCUUAUCAAGGACACCAUAUUAUGGACUUGGAAAGAUUUGCGCAGUGUAGGAAUUUGUACUAAAGACGGUGAAUGGUUCACCGUCUUAUGAAGACGGUGAACCAUUCACCGCCUUCACAACAAAUAUCAAAGACGGUGAACGAUUCACCGUCUUUUUAAGGAGUCCCUGACGUGGCACCUACGUGGCGAGAGGAGGGUUAGUUUCACAAAUAAAAAUUUUACAGAAUUAGUUUGGCAAAUACAAAAUUUUACAGAAUUAUUUUCGAAAAAAAUCCGCUAGACUUGUGACAGUGUAGAAUUCCUCCUCAGCAACAAAAUCUUUUUAGCGUAUCAGUGUCAAAAUGAAUCCACACCCUUCACUAUAAAAAAAAAGGGAAAAUUAUACUUACAAAGCUGUAAUAAAUGCAAUGAGUUUUAAUAAGUCAAGAGGACCACGUGAAAGGGUAGUACAAGCUUCCUCAAUUACUCAUGCUUUGAAAAUAUUAAACUAGUGCGUGCUUAACGAAAAAUUCUAGAAUGCAACGGAUAUAACGGUGGCGUGGCGUAAUAAAUCAAUCAAAGUUUUUUUUUUUAAAAUAUAUGUUCCAUCAUGAUUAUAAAAAAAUAUUUUUAUUAUACUUUUAUUUAAAAAGAAGAAAAAUAAUUGACUUAUUAUUAAUAAUGUGGUACAAGUGUGAUAGUGUAGAAUUUUUCGUGCUUAACACCCAUUCUAUCAUUCUAUGUCAAACCAUGCAAGGGUAAGAAAUAUAUCAAGGACUCCUUCUCAAUUAGGUGCUUACUUAACUUAGAUUUUUAAAACAACUUUUUCUACUUUAUAAAAUAAUAAUCAAAUGUUUCGUAAACAAAAUUCUUAAAUUUUAUGACGACAAUACAAUGAAAAAGAAGGUCCCAAAAGUGGAAAUUUCAACUCCAAUUGCUAGCUUUUACUUUCAAUGAGAAACUGUCACUUAAUUAGAAAUUAGUGUUGCUCGAACAGUGAAGCAAUUAGAUAUUGAACUUAGGACUUCAGGUACCAAUUAUUUAACUCUUUGCCACCUAUGCUAGUAAAGGUCGGUAGCAUUCAAAAAUAUUAAGAUCUCUUGUGAUUAUCGCUAUACUCCUAGCUGAAUAAUUAAUAUAAUUAUUCAGGCUAAUUUUGGUUUAUUGUGCGUCAAAUUAUUCUUUUGGAAAAUAGGGGAUUUAAAGAUGUUUUUAUCAACGUUUAUAAUAUCACAAUCAAUUUAAAUACCGCCAUUUUAUGACAAAUAUAUUCACAUAUAUAUAUAUAUAUAUAUAUAUAUAUAUAUAUAUUAUAUAUAUCAUAUAUAUAGGUUAUAUACUAUAUAUAUUCUCUUUCGUUAUUUUUUCAGUGAGUGUAUGUAAUGUAGUUCAUCUAAUAUCCAUGUUGCAUUAGAUAUUAAGAGCAACAUAGUUAAUUGAACUUAAAACUUUGAGAUAACAAUAUACAUAUAGGACUCUUGCCAACAAAAUAUCACUCUUGGGAAACAACCAAACCACUCACAUCAAUGACCAACUUAAGGGCCCCUCAAGUUUGUUCAAUACCUUUGCAUAGGUGCCUCCCUAUGUGAGAUUCAUUGCGAGUAAUACUACGUAUACAUCUUAAAAUUUUAGGUUUAAAGUUUACACUUCAAAAUUUUUAUGACCUUUAUUAAUUUACUUAUCUAAUUUUUUUUUUUUUAUUUUUUACGAAAACAUAAAAAAUUUAUUAGCUUUUGGAUCAAAGAGUGUAUAUUAUAUAGGGCUUUUUUUUCAAUUUAGUCCCCCGGCAAAUUUUUAUUUUAAAAAUAAUCCUAUCAAAAUUUAAUUUGCAAAAAUGGUCAUGCUCCUGCCACGCAGGCGUCACGUCAACCCCACGCGGGUAGGACUGGGGCAGUGUGUUAAGUUGAACACGGUAAACCAUUCACAGUGUUUCAUAUUUAUAUUCCUUUUCUUCUCUUUUAGGGAUGUCAACGGGUCGGGUUUGGAUCGGGUUUUUAAAAACCUGAAAUCGAAUCCGAAAAUCAAAUUAAAAUCCGAACACGAAUCCGAGCCCGGCGGGUUUUAAAAAUCUAUACCCAUAUCCAUAUAUUAAAGUUAUAUGAGUAUGGAUUUUUAAAACCUGUCGAAUUCGGAUUCGGGUUCGGUUUUUAAUUUGAUUUUCGGAUUCGGAUUUGGAUUUUUAAAAACCCGAUCAAAAUCCGACCCGUUGACAUCCCUAAAAAAGAAGAUAAUGAAUAUAAAUAUGAAACACGUUUGAACACGGUGAAUGGUUUACCGUGUUCAACUUAACAUACUGGCCCUAAUCCUGCUCGCAUGGCGCUGACGUGGCAUCUGCGUGGCAUGAUCAGAACCAUUUUUGUAAAUUAAAUUUUGACAGAGCUAUUUUUAAAAUAAAUUUUUUUUUAGAGUACAAUUUGCAAAAAAAAUUCUAUUAUAUAGGACAAUGUACAUAGCAUCUUUCAUUUAUUGUUUACGACUAUAAGGAAUGUCACUGUACAUAGCAUCUGUCAUUUAUUGUUGCGUCGGUGCAAUUAUUGUACCAUUUUUUUUCAUUUAUGGCUAUUUAGCCAAUGAGCAUAAAACAAUUGCUUGUUACAAAACUGUGUUGUUGAUUGAUGGACCUUGAUCUGACCCAUGCACAUAGAAGGGCAAAGGAGUGGGGCUAUUUUGCUUUAUUAGUUUAUAUAAGAUAACCAAAUUUCCCUACAAAUCAUAUUACAUUUUUUCAAAAAAUUGCUAGGGAUAAGCAUCUUUGACAUAUUUCUUCAAAAAAAAAAAAAAAAUCACAAAAACAGUUUAAAACCAUCUAGUAUAUUACUUGAAAGUAGGUAAAUACAUUUACUGCUACUUUUAUUCUGGCUCCAAUCAAAUAUAUUUUUCUUUUCUGAUCUUCAGGAAAGUAUCAUCUCAGUAUAGGGGUGUACAUUUUACAUCUUUUCAAUUUUCAUCGAAGAACUUAAAUGACCCUUGAAUCCUAGCAGCUACCGUAACUCCCAUCAACUACAAAUUUUAGAUUGAUAAUAUGUGAUUUCAUGAAUUAUUAUGCUACUAUGCUAUCGAUAGUAUCAAACGAUUGAUACUAUCGAAUUUUCAAUCGUUAGAUGAAAGAAUAUGUGGUUGGAAUGAUAAUGGUCCCCCAGGGUUGAGUGAGUGGUUGAUUAAAUAGUAUAAUCUAACGGGUGGAAAUAAUCAAAGGAUGGAUCUAACGAUAGAAAACUCGAUAGUACAAAGAAUUUAGUACUAUCAAUAGUAUAGCAGCGGGACUCUCAUUUCAUUUGCAAUGAUACAUAAUUUUGUGCCAUACUACUCGAAGACUCCAAACUUAUAUGAGCCGGCCCAUGGGCCAAAUCUGCACUUUUUAGGAACAGUGUAUUGGGCCGGGCCAUGUGUCUGCAUGUGCGUAAGCUCGAAAACCCCUAAAAUCUGCAGGUAAAUUUACUGAAGCUUAAUACAAUACAGCUAUAUUAUACCAGGAAGAUUAUAAAAACUCUUCUUCCACAUCAUUUCAUUGUACAAAUUGUGCCGGUUAUUUGGCUUAUUCAUUGUCUUAAAUUUAACAAAAUAUAAAAACCCCCCAAAAAAGGGAAAAAGAGUGAAAAAAAAAGAGAAAAUGUCACUAUAUGCAUGGCCCUUUUGGACAAAUCAUAUGUUAUCUGCAACGGAGUAUUAGGCCCAACAAAUUAGGCCUGGUGAGAACCAUCACAUUAUAGGCCUCUAUUGGGCUUCAUGUGGGCCCAUGAUCCACCCCCGAAUCGAUCUCCGUCCCAAACGCAACAUAGACCCCUUAAAACCCUUCUCUCUCUCUCUUUCUCUCUCUCUCUCUCUCUCUCUCUCGCUCCCGCCCCCCGUACGCCAUCGCCAUGAGAGGAGCUCUUCGAGCUCUGAGGCUCGCGACCUCCUCCUCCGCGCCCCUCUCUCGCCCUCGCCCCCGUUCCCUCCUCCCCUCUCGCCUCCUCGCCGCCGCAGCCGCCGACCCCCAACCCGAUCUCCCGCCCUCCGCCGCCGCCGACGACGACGACGCCGACGCCCCCUCCGCCGACUUCGAUAGCGCCGAGUUCUCCCUCCCCGACGACUCUGGCGCUAGCUCCCGCCGAGCUCCCGUGUGGGACGAGGCCUAUCGGGUUCGGGCCGACAGGGUUCUGUUCGGGGAGAGGAAUCGCGCGAAGAAGCUGUUGGAGGAGGAGGAGGAGAGGGAGAGGGCGACGAGGCUCGCGAGGGCGCUGCUCGAGGCGGCGCUGGAGCCGCCCGAUGACGCGGAGGAGGAGGGGGAUAUGGUGGUGAAGGAGGAGGAUCAGAAGUCGCUCUCCGUCGGAAUCAUCGGAGCUCCGAAUGCCGGGAAAUCCUCUCUCACGAAUUUCAUGGUAAAUUUGAUUCCUUUAUAAGGUCUUGUGAUAGAGUUAAAUUUAUUGGACUUUGUUUGUUAUUGUGUGCAUUUUAUCGAGCACGUAGUGAAUAAAUUGGCUCUACUUUUUCCCCUUUUUGGGGGUCUAUUUGAGAAGUUAAUUGCAGUAUUGUUCAAAUGAUACUAAAGUAGAAAGAUUAAGCUAAGAUUCUUUAUUGUAUAUGUAUAAUUUUGUGGAGAUUCAUAUAAUUUUCUGUGUUUUGUUUGUGUUGUCAUGAAGCAGUUGUUCUUCGUUACACAUCAUGUAUGGUGGGUAGCAUUAUUUCAUUUCAUUCAUUAACAUGUUCUUUCGAGUUUAUUUACGUUUGAUUGGACUUCGCAGCUUCAGUUUGAUUGUGGAGUUCAUUUAGAAACCCUCCCCAAGUUUGUAGUUCACAUAAAGUAUCACUUAUUUGGAAUUUGUAAUGCAUAUUCAAUUUCUGAGCUCAAGCAACUUCGACGUUUCUCCAAUUGCUUGCGGCCACAAAAUUCUUUCUGCACCCACAGUGGCUUUGGAUUUCAUUUUAAAUUUAUUGUUGCCUACCAUGUAAUUAUAUUUACUUUCUUCUAAAAGUUUGACUUACAUAUGUUGGUACUGCCUUUUUUCCUGAUAUUGUUUCCAUCACAUUCUUCUUGUUCUUUGUCUGUUAUUGCAGGUUGGAACAAAAGUUGCUGCUGUCUCAAGGAAAACUAAUACAACUACUCGCGAAGUUUUAGGAGUAAUGACGAAAGGGGCAACACAAAUUGUAUGGAUUCUUGUCUUGCUUCUUUAUGCUUCUGAUAUUCAUGCCACCUAGUUCCACUUGUUGAUAAAACGACUUCUCAUAUAUAUAUUUCUAAACUGAUGCGGAAGUAGUAUAGAAAUGAUAGAAUAUAUGUGUAUAUUCAAAACACAGAGAGAGACGCGCAUAUAUGUGACUUCACUUUCUUGACGUAGGUCUCUUUCUGUUUAUAAACAAAUAAAUAAAUAAAUCCAUUUAUUAAACUUUAAUUUGGGGUCUCUAUGCAAUCGGAAGGGUUUGGACUUCGGACUUAUUCAUGGAUAAUAGAAAAGUGCAGAAAAGAGAUGUAGAAGAGAAAGCAUGUGUAGUGUGAGCAUAUUUGUUUGCAUCUUUCCUAUAAUAAUGUUUCAAAGAACUGCUCUAUUGAAUAUGGCUUGGUUUGAAGCAUCUCAUCUUUUUUUAUGUUUUGCUCUUGUAGUUUGGUGAACUAAUAGCCUUUUCGACAGUGUUUCUUUGAUACCCCAGGUCUCAUGAUAGGGCAUCACGGGUACCCAUACAGGACAGAUGUUAGAGUUCGCGUAGAAAGUGCUUGGAGCUCAAUCGACCUAUAUGAUCUGCUUAUAGUCAUUUUUGAUGUCCAUAGGCAUCUCACCACGUAAGCUAUCAACUUAGCUUCUACUUCUCAUGCAUGUCUCGGUGAACGGCCAGUGGUUGUUAGACGUCCAUCUUAUCUUCUGGUAAUAUAGCUGUUGCUAGAUUUGAUAAUUACAAACAUAGUCACUGUAGUUUGACCUUGAUUUCCAUUUUGCCCUAAAGCUGACCCUGAUUUCAAUUUCGCGCUCAAAGUUUCAAUUUAACAAAGGAAAGCUUAAAAAUGAUGCUGACCUGUCACCAAUUUUAGAUGGUAGAAUAAUAGGAUUUAAUUAUUAAGCAGAAAAAAUUUUAGGGAUCAAACUGUUAAGUUGAAAUUAUGAGUAUGAAAUCGAGAUUGAGUUCACACUCCCAGGAGUAAAUUUGUACUCAACCCUAUAUGAUUGUUGAAAUUCUGCUAACUUAGUUUCCUAUACAUAUAGGUCUGACACAAGGGUGACAAAGUUAAUUAAACGACUGGGUGAGGAGGCAAACCCUAAACAAAAGCGCGUUUUAUGCAUGAACAAGGUGGAUCUAAUAGAAGAUAAAAAGGACUUGCUGAAAGUUGCAAAAGAAUUUGAAGAUCUUCCUGGAUAUGAAAGGUACGUAAUCGCUUACUAUGAACUGGUUUCCAUGCUUAAGUUUGUUAUUAGUUAUUCUCAUUUCUCUCUUUGAGACUCUUAGGUAUUUCAUGAUAUCUGGACUAAAAGGUUCAGGUGUGAAAGACCUCGUACAGUAUCUAAUGGACCAGGUAUGCCAGCUUCUCUAAGAAAAAUUUGUGUUUAUUUGUUCUACUUCAUCAUGAAGAAAAUCGAAUUUUGUGUUCUGUGUUGUAUGAAAUAGGCUUUCUGUUUCUUUCUUUUUUUACGUUUACUGUAUAGGCAGUCAAAAGACCUUGGGAUGAGGAGCCAAGCACCAUGACCGAAGAGAUACAAAAAAACAUAGCUUUAGAGGUUGUCCGCGAAAAGAUGCUAGACUAUAUUCAUCAGGUGCUACUUUGUUAAAUUUUACCAAAGAACUGUUGUUUCUUUCCUCAUGGCAGAAGUUAAUCCAAUAUACCAUCUCUAUCAGGAAAUUCCAUACGUGAUUGAGCAUCGAUUAAUGGACUGGAAGGAACUAAGGGAUGGUUCUCUGAGGGUGGAGCAACACUUCAUUACACCAAAACCAAGCCAGAGGCAGAUUCUUAUUGGAAAGAAUGGCUCUAAGAUAGGGUAUUACUUCUUUCAGUUAACUGCUCAUGUAAUACGAAACUACUAGCAUCUCUCUGAAUUUACUGUCAACGUGUGUAUGCUGCCUAGGGCGUUUGUCCGGUAUCUAGUCUCUGUGGUGUGCUCGUGUAUGCAUGUUCUUUUUUUUUUUUUAAUUGGACUUGUAUCGUAUGAUGCUGAUUGCCGCAUUAAUGGAACAAUUUUGUUUUUCUGGCGUACUUACCUUUGUUUAGGAGAAUAGGCAUUGAGGCCAACCAAGAAUUGAGGUCCAUAUUCAAGAAAGAGGUGCAUCUCAUUCUGCGAGUUCGAGUUGCUAAGAAGAAGGGUGCUUGAGUUGACGGUGGACAUUUCACAUGUUGCAGCUGAUUUCCAUGUAAGUACACAACAUCUUGUUUCCACUGUUCGGUUGUUCUUUCUAGUAAAUCUUUCGUAAUGCUCAAUAAGAUAUGCAUAUGCAAUUUAUAGUUUCAUAAGUAUACAGAGGAAUCCUCGGAUCAUUAUAAAAUCUCAUCUUGCAACUGACAAUGAUCAACGAUUCUUUUGGCCCUGCUGAAGCUACAAUGACUUCUCGAUGCAACAUAAACGGAAGUUUCAAUUCAUAGCUUAUUUUAGCUUUCCAUCACAUUUUGACCUAUCAACUCAUUCAUUAAACCUCCCCUAUGGUUUCUUCCCCUCAAUCUGACCUGGAAGUACCACUAAUUAAAAAUAUUGGAGCUAGAAAGAAUAAAAUAUUGAAGCUAGUUGCAUAGAUGGGACGACAAACCCAUGAGUAGAACCCCGAGGUGAUCUUGCUGAAGAAUGUAGUAUAAUAAGAUGAAAAUAACACUGAUUGAGUUUGAAAAUUCUUGUUCAGACCCAUAUACGAAUUAUAAACAGUUGUGUUAUUUCAGGGCGAUAUUGAAGUUGCAUUACUGACAAUGGGUUUUAACUUGGGUCAUUCAUGAAAGAACACGGCUUGAUACAUGAGACCUCUUAUUCUUGAUCCCUAUAUAUUGGAGGCACCAAAAGGAUUGGCUUCAAAGUUACACUCGCAAUCAACGGUGCUCCGGUGCAAUUUCGGGCUCGCCAAGUGUGCAGGAACGGUGCUUCAUAUUCGGCUGAAGAUUACAAGUUGUGCAAUUGUUUUCUAUUUUUUCUUUUAUACAACAUGUUGUAAAUUGUAUCGGUUCUCUUUGGAGAUUCUGCCAUUUGUUUGUUGUUUUUCCUUUACCUAGUUUCGCUAUGGAGGAAUAGCUAGGUGCAGUGACAGGAACAUAUGAAUACUAAUAAUGUUGUAUCAGGUCUUUUUGAAGCCUUUUACUAAUUUCGUUGUGCACAACUCAAAAGAGCCGUAAUACUCAAAAAAGGUCUAAUUACACUUGAGGCCUCAUCUCUGCAUUUGCCUUUCUUUUUUUGUUUUUCCUCUUGUUUUUUCAGUCAAAACUUCUCGUUAAACUUGUGGUAAUAAGAUGAUUUUAAACUUUGUACAUCAACAGUAAUCAAGUUUCUUUUAUCGGGGUAAAAUAAACAGAAACAGCAAAUUAAGAAUUUCCAAUAGUUCUCGAGUUUAAAUUAAAAAUGCUUCAUUUCUCUUUUUCUAGGAUAUUUCUUGUUCAGAACAAAAAAAUGUCAACCAAUCGCUUACAAUAUAAAGCUGGUUAAAAGAGGUGAGUUACUAAGAAUCAAGGAAGAAGAACGCAAAAGAAAAAAAGAAAAGAAAAGAAAAAACAGAUAGAUUGCUAUCAUACACCACACCAGCAGGACUUGGAAUUUCCACAAAAGUUGAGAUAUAAUUUCCCCAAGAAGGAACAGAAAAUAAAAGUAUUGGAGCUGACAAAAAAGAAAAAGAAACGAAAAGAAAAGAAAAAAGCAGCAGAAGCAAAUUAUCUUAUUAUAAAAUGAAAAGAAAUGUUUCACUAAGAAGCUAUUCUCUGAGAAAAAGGCUUUGCUAAACAUCAGCGCACACAGGAGGAAUUUGAAAUUUUAUGACUAAAUAAAACAGACACUUCCAUGGUGGUAAACAAAUCGAUGCUUCCAAAAGAACCAUGAACUUAACAAAUGGUCAUUAGCUUAUUCUAACUAAUGAACCAGAACCUCGAAUGUUCUUACAUCAUAAUACCCCCAUUUUUCUUUCUAAUAUUACAGUAGCUUCUUCACAUAGCAUGCAGUAUUUUCCCAUAAACAUCUAACCUAGAGAACUGAAAUAUGUAUCUCAAGAAAUUACUACUACAUGGAAGAACCGCAAAUAGAAAGAUGUUAAAUUAAAUGAUGAUAAUUUAUUCCCCCACAAAAAAAGGGGAGUGUACAUAAAUAUCCUUCACUUUAUACACCUCAAUGAACUAAUGAGGAAUUCGAAUAAAAUCACCACUGGUACAUCACCUAGACAUAGCAACUGAUUUAGGAGGGGAAAGAGACCGAACCUCGGGCGCAGAGCUCGGAAACAGCACAUUGAGCUUAUGCAUCAAGAUGUCAGCUUUCGACGGUAUCUCAUUCAGCAAGAACUGCUGCACAAUGGGUUUCUUGAACCACUCGAGAACUGAAUCCCCUGGCGCCCUUAAGACAACCUUGCUCACCUCAAAUGGCGAUUCUACCGACUCUAGAACCUGCGCCACAACUAUUUUAAGUGUCGGGCCUGUCACUAACUUAAUUCGUCGAGGCACGACUCCGUAGUACAGCAUCCGCUUCCUAAAUCUAUGCAGAGUGUGGACAACAGAUACCAGCGCCGCCCCCACCGACAAGUUCCUUACGUCCAAAGACCACGCGAUGUGCUGAUCGAAAACAAUGGCUUUUGGGAACAGCUUGUUCUCAUAAGCAACUUUCCACACACACCUCGCACGGUUCGUCUGGCCCAUGAGCACGAGAUAGUUCAAGAGCACAUUCACAAAGUACCGAGCCGCGCUCUCCUCUAGUUCGUAAUCAAUCCCUUGAAAGAAUUCUCUCACAAAUGAUAAGACGGGCUUCUUUCGCUGCUCAGGCCCUGUGAACAGCCCGCACAUGAACUCGUGGGCCUUGUGCUUCGACGCACUCAAAAUAUCCAUUAUGACUCUUUCAUUCUUCUCAUCUUGGCACCUUAUCAAAUGGGCGAGAACCGAUGUGUACAGUAUCAGAUCCACUUUUGCUGCUGACCCAACAUAGGUCUCGAGCAAUGGUUUUGCCGACUCGUAAAGCCCGGUUUUCAUGCAAGAUUCAAACAACUGCCUUAUUAUGAAGUUGUUAGUCCUUAUUCCGGCCGAACCCAUGAAACGAAGCCACCUCAAUGCAUGCUCGGUCGACCCCUCUUUAAUAUAAAUCAUCAGCAUAUCGCUCGCGCUCACCUCUACCGCAAAACCAACAGCCUUCAUCUCAAGCAGGAUCUUUGCAGCCAAAUCCAAGAGCUUUUUAUUUGCAAGAACCGUCAAAAGUGACGUGAAUGUACUCAAACCAGGGCGAACACCUGCAUUGGUCAUAGAAUUGUAAAGCCGCAUUGCCUCAUCCACUCGGCCUGCAGCUGAGUGCAUCUCUAUAAGGCAAGAAUAAGUUGAAGGAGUAGGGAAAAACCCGGCCUUUUCCAUGUCAUUAAAGAGCGACGCCGCUACAUCCAACCUUCCCGACUUUGCAUUCGCCUCUACCAUCACGGUAUAAAGAUUGAAAUUUGGGCGAAACCCGAUGCUUCUCAUCUCAUCCCAAAGCUUCAUACCAGCAUCCAACUUCCCAGCCUUCACCAAAGCCUCCACAAUCGAGACAUUCAUAGCAUUCGACGGCUUAUACCCUGAACUCUGCAUCUCUCUAUACAGGCCCAUCGCAGCAUCGAGCCGCCCGGCCUUGCCCAUCGAGUCAACUAGGGCAGAGUAGACCGUAAACGCCGGCCGGUUCUUCUGCUUCAUUUCGUCGAACAGGUGGAGUGCCGCUUCUAAACGGCCGGAUUUGGCGAGGGCGGGCACCAUCAACUCGUAGGUGGUCGAAUCGAGGGAGCAGGCACUACCUUUCAUGGAUUCGUAGAUCUCGAAGGCCUUGUAGGGGAGGCCCUUGGUGAGGAAGAGGGUGAUGAGGGAGUUGAAGGUGAGGGUUUCAAAGCUGGCGAAGCCGAGGUCGCGGAGCUUCUUGAAGCAGCAGUAGGAGAGCUCGAGGAGGGCGGCGUGGGAUAGGGUUUGGAGGGCGAGGUUGAGGGAGGGGGCGAAGGAGGCGAGGAGCAGGGGGUCGGCGGCGGCGAGGUCGAGCAUGUCGUCGAAGAGGGAGACGACGUCGUCGGCGUGUUCGGAGGGGGAGGGGGAGGAGGCGAGGCGGCGGAGGACUAGGGCGUAGACGGAGGGGUCGGGGGGGAGAACCAGGGUUGGCGACGCGCCCAGCGGAAGAGGAGAGGGCGGGGACGGGUCGGGAGGGAGAUGGGGAGGGAGGAGAGGGAGAGGGAGAGGAGGGAGGGGUCGGGGGAAUGGGAGGGAGUCGAGGAGGAGGUCGAGGAGGUCCCAGCGGUGGCGGAGGGCGAGGAGGCGAGAGCGCCGCGGCGCGGCGGCGCGGGGGAGGGGGCGGCGACGGCGCCCGGAGAGAACGUGCGAGUCGAGCCCCGGGGCGGCGGGGCGGGCGCCGGGGCCCGAGGAGAGCACGGCGCCGGACUCGUCCAGAUACUCGAUCUCCUCCGUCCACUCGCCGGCGCCGGAGGAGUCGCCGUAGGAGGAGAAGGGUUUAGGGUUUAGGGUUUUAUUAGGACAGGAGGAAAAAAGGGGGAUUGGGAGAGGGGUUCGGGAGAGUUUGAGGUAUCGUAGGCGGAGGAUCAUCGUAUUGAGCUUUUGGUGAGAGGGAAGAGAGAGCGAGGGGUUUUAGAGUGACGAAGAGAUACGCGCUCUGAAUUAAGAUUUAGGACGUAGUUAAGAGUAGAAUGGAGGGAUCGACUUGUAUGUCUCACUAGACUCGAGCAAAUGUGGUCCGACCCAUUUAACGCACCCGAAACUUUUUAUACAUUGAGUCAGGUCUAAUCCGGUUCUCUGGUUCAGGAUCGGGGAUUAUAGGCGUGUUUGGUUCAACGAUCGAAGCUCUAAACGCAAUAGAUCAGCGACUCCGACCCUAUGUAGAUCUCUGAAUUCGAACUGCAAUUUAGUAGCAACUUUUGUUGUAGUUGUGAGUUCCACUUCCCACUUUUCCCCAUACACACCUCAUCUUCGGCUCGUAUGUUCCUUUAGCCGAAUCAACAUAAUUCAGAUUUUGAUUCUGUUAUUAUUAAUACCUGCUUGAUCCAAUAUGGGCGAAUUAUUUUAGAUAGAUAUUGGGCUUUUUUUUUGGGCUGGAGAAGAAGUUAGCUUCGGUUGGAUCUCCUAUCGGUUCUAAACUCCACUGCUAUUUCAUCUGGAAUAACUUUAAAACAGACAAGCUAGUUUUGUGAACACUCGAAUGGAUACUUGGUAAUUGUUAUUGCGUAGAAUUAAUUUUCCAUAAUGAACUAGAGAAAAGCGAGAAUUUGAUGAGCUGCAUUUUCUCGAAUUCAUUGAUAAAGUGAUAAAACUCAUUAUGCAAGCUAAAAACGGAUACUCGGAGAUUAAAAGGAACUAAAUGCUAAACAGGUAACUCGCAGUAAUAUUUAAGCUAGGAGAAAGGGAGGCACAGUGAUUUCGCUACAAGAUACCAUAGUCACAACGAUUACACCAACCUUUUAACUACAAAACAGUGAAACACACAACACAAACAUUACCACGUUAUCUCACCAAAACAAAAGCUCCAAAGUUAAAAGUAAUAGGAAGGCUCGCUCCCGACGUAACUAAGAAAUUAAGUCUACUAGAUUUCCUCACAACUGCAAACCAUUUAUUUAAAUCCUUUUAGGCAGCAUUCAGGCUAUUCGCUAUGUCGAUGACGAAUCGGUAUCGAACAUCGGCCUUGACGAGCCGCUCAAUGGCCGUGUUCACGUAAUCCGCGCUGAUGAGCUCGAUGUCGGCUGUCACGCCGUGUUUCCCGGCAAAGUCCAGCAUCUCUUGGGUGUCCUUAAUCCCACCAAUGCAGCUUCCCGCCAAGUUCUUUCCACCUAGUUUCACAUAAAAGAUGGUUAUUAUUGCAUAAAAGCCCCCCAAAAAUGUUGUAAUUAUCACCUUGACCCCUGAAAUUUUACACUAAAAUAAUAAUUUAUGUAACUAGAGACGACUGUGAGAAUUACAAUAUUUGUAGGGGGGUUCGAGCAUUUUAGCACAUAGCAUAAUUUGCCCCUUAUACAAAUAAUAAGGGAGUUAAUCCUGAUACUAACCCAUGAUCAAUGAGAACGCAGGUAUCUCCAGGGGCUUCUCAGGUAAGCCCACCAUGAUCAUCUUCCCAGUGGCUUUAAGUAGAGCCAAGAGAGGCGGGAUGGAGUGAGGAGCAGAAACAGUGUCGAUGAUACCAUCCAUGGUGCCCAUUGCAGCCUGGGAAGCAGAAAAAAAGAAUCAUGUUCGGAGAUAAUAUUUCCGAAAUUUGCGAGUUCUUGUGUUCCAUUAAUCAUAUGAUCAAAAAAUAAGGAGAGAAAGAAACGAGGAACACUAUCUGUUUACGUAUUCCAGAAUUCAAGUAAAAAUUGUAUAGUUUAGUUUGAAAAGAGAUACAUCUUUAAUAGGCAUAGCAUUCAUAUGUAUUAUCUGCGAGUACAUGAAUGCACAGGUUUACUCUACUAGCUAUGAUAAAAAUUAGAAAUGAAGUGAACGGACUACAUACCUGCAUCUGUUCAGGAUUUUUACUGAUCAAGAAAGCAUCAGCUCCCAACCGUUCUAUUGCCUCCUUCUCCUUGCUUGCCGAAGUGCUGAUCACCGUCACCUUCAAUCCAAACGCCUUGCCAAACUUCACUGCCACAUGGCCCAGCCCGCCAAGCCCGACCACCCCGAGGUGCUUCCCAGGCUCAUUUAGCCCAUGAUACUUCAUCGGGCUAUAAACAGUAAUGCCCGCACACAAAAGUGGCGCGCCCUUGUCAAGAGGGAGGUUUUCAGGAAAUUUAAUAACAAAUUUCUCGUUGACGACGAUCAUGUUCGAAUAUCCACCAUAGGUAACGGAUCCGUCUUUAUCAAUGGAGUUGUAGGUCAGGAUCAUGCCAGGGCAGUAGUUCUCGAAACCUUGGUUGCAGUUGUUGCAGGAUUGGCAUGAAUUCACCAUGCAGCCCACGCCAACCUUGUCGCCGACUUUGUACUUCUGGACCUUGCUUCCUACUUCGGUGACCAGACCAGCGAUUUCAUGCCUAAAAUUAUAAAGAGUAGAAUCGUGACGGUAAUGCAUGAUAAUUGCAUGUUUUGCCUGAAUUUUCGAAUAGCCUUUUCUACAUACAAAGCAGAAAUCAAAUGUUGGCAAGCAAAAAUUCCUGGAGUAGCAGGAAUGCUGAUUUGAAAUCUUCUGCUUCUAGCAAGAGCUUACUCAGACAACAAUUUUUAUAGAGGCUCCACUCAGGUUUAUGCUAUACCCCUAAAGACCCACAACAGUUAGGAGAAAAGAAUAACAUAGUGAACAGAAAAGAAUCGGACAAUUUAUUUUUCUUGACUUCCAAAUUUCCAAUUAUUUAAAAAACACACCCUUUUGAACAAGAAUCUAAUGAAGCAACAUUCUAUAGAACUUAAUAUUCUUUGGACUUUGAAGAUGACCAAUGACUGUAAUUGACCGAAUGGCCGGAGUCCUUCAUAAACAUCUAACUAGCAUCACUUCUAGAAUUCAGUGUUAAGAAUAGUGUUCAUAAUUGGUACAUACCCAGCCACAAUUGGGUAAAUGGUGUUUCGCCAUUCGUUCUUUAUGCUGUGAAGGUCCGAAUGGCAGAUCCCACAGAAGAGUAUCUUUAUGGUCACAUCAUUUUCGCCAUUGUUUCUGUAAAAUAGUGAAAAGCAAAUAUUACAAGUUAUUCAUGGACAUAAUAAGGGAACGAUUAAAAAAUCAUUAGUUCUUUGACACAUUAUAACUUUGAAAGAGAAAAAUGUCAGGCGCACAAGCAUUUUACACAGUAAAUCACUAUAUAUUUAUAGAUUUAAUUAUUCCCGAGCACAUAUUUCUCAUGAAAAACCAGAAAGUCUGAGCAAUAGGUCUUCGAAAGGCAGGAUUUGGACAAAAAAAUUAUAUUAUAAAGUUAUUAUAAAGUGAUAAUUAACCUUGAAGGCAUUUAAAAUCCUACUCACCAAUUCAAUAUCUAAGACCAAUUAGAAUUAAAAGUAAGUUCUUCAGGUUUUGCUUCUUUUCUCCUAAGAACCAAAGUAUCAAUAGAUACAAAUGCUAACACCCAGUUGCAUCUGUAGCUAUUAAAUUUCUGACCUAUAAAAGGCCAAUUUUACAACAACCCUUGGUUGUUGAAUAAUAACUACAAACUGACUGAGUCAGGAUGCACUGACAUUGCAAUCAAGAAAGAUAACGCAGAUAACACGAGAAACAGGGAAUGAUUUCCUAUAAAAAUAUUCAAUCCAAUGUUCACAAUAAAUUGUAUUAGUUGAGUAUUUAUUAUCACAUGGUGUUUGCUACUCCUGGAUAUAUGCAUGAAUUAUUGCAAAACUUAUUCCUUUUGCAUAUUGACUGUAGAUUAUGCAAAUAAGCAGAAGCAAUUAAUGGCAGCAAGACUUGUGAAAGUGCAAGAAGUUCAUGCAGAUGUUGGUGUUAAUUUCCCAUUACAGGUACAACAUCAAAACUAUAGCAAUCAAGGCUUGCUUGCUUACUUUCUCAGAUCAUGAUAAAAAGAAUCAUUAAAAAAGGUAUGAAAAAUUUAAACAUCUAGUCAAGCAAAGCAUAACAUAGAAUAUAGUAAAGGUCAAUAGCUUUGCCGACCGUCCUAGCUCAAGUGGCAAAGGGAUUUGAUGGUUUGACACUUAAUUAAAAAAAAUGGCUCAACAAGAUAUCCAUCCAAGCAUUUGUUGCACUAGCCAGAAGAGAGAGAAAAAAAAUUAUGAAUUAGUUGCCCACUUUCCCCCCCAGCUAACGCUAUAUGCAAUAAAUGAUUCUACGCUGCAAAGCAAGUAAGGCAGUAGUUGCUCUUGCUUCUAAACGUACUAUUCCGAUAAAUAUGAACAUACAAAACAAAGAUGUCAUAUGUCAUACUAAAGUGACCUUGCUUUCUUUCUUCCGUAUUUAACGCUGCUUUUCUCGUUGCCAACAAAAUUAUUUAAUGUCCCUAAAAAGUUGCAACUUUUCUCAUCAUUCAUUAUUGCUAGUCUGCUAGUAACAGGACUAUCAGUGCCCAUAUUUCUAGUCUGCUUAAGAAAACUAUCAAAUUGUUGAAUUGGAAAGGUGUUUUUUUUAUAUUUAUUUUUCAGUUUAAUUUUAUCUUUUCCGGAGAUUUAUUUAUAUUUGUAAGUAGAUAAAAAAAAUAACACAAAGAGCCGAACCAUCUCUUUUAUUUUUUUUCCUUUUAGUCCAGUGUACUCGCCCCAAAUUAAUGUGGCUUCACCAGUAGUGUAGAAUUUUAAAUACCAUAAAGUCUCAAUUAUACAAAAAGUAAAAACAAUUACAAUGGUCCCCAUUCUCAAAAUAAUAAUAAUAAUAAUAAUAAUAAUAAUAAAUACAAUGGUCCUCAGACCUCACAUGGUACCUCACAUGAUAAUGAUAACAUAUAUCAACUACUGAAUCAGAUACCGAUCGUCUCUAGAGCAAAUGGCAAAAUACUUGAUAGUUGAUAUCCGAGAUCCCAAGUUCGAAUCCUAAUUGAUUCACAUUUUCAGCUAAGUUUAUUUCUAAAUAAAAUAAACGAAGUGGGUAGCGUGCUACCUAUCUCUUAAUAAAAUAAAAAAAAAACCCAUUGUACCAGAUUAGGCCCACUCAGUAACAUGGGUACCAGAUUAGGCCCACUCAGUAACAUUAAAAUAUUUUACUAAGUUACAACGAUAGUAAACAGAAGAAAAAAAUAGACGAGUUAGACAUUUGCGUUGAAUCAUACGAGACAGUAGCUUGGCGAACAGGUACAUCAUCAGUCAACUAAUAAAAUAUGCAAAUAAUCGAAUCCCGAACUAUCCUUUAAAAGGUCACUUAAUUACUAAGUAUUAAACUACUACAAGCGUUCAAGGUGGGCCCUACAAGCGUUAAAGGUAGGCCCGCCCGUUCUGCAUGCAGAGCUAGGAAAUUUUAAAUGAAUGGGAAAAGUACAUGAUUAGCACCCUAAUCUUUAUCCAGUGUUCAAUCAAAGCCUCUUUUUUUAAUAACUAUACAAAUAUGGUGCCCGAUAUUGCAAUCCUACAUUGAUGCUGAUGUAGCAAUAACUAUACAAAUUAAUAAUCGUUUUGAUAGACCGACCGUCCCUAAAGCAAGUGGCAAAAGACUUGGUGGUUGUAACCGAAGUCACCAUCUCCUCAAGGUACGGUGUUUCCAAUUUUGAAACGAUUUUGGCAUUUUUUUUUUUUUAAUUUGUGGGCUUUCGGUUUCUAAGCUUUUAAUGCCCCCGCAUUACUGAAUUUUCCAGUUAAUUUGUGUUUAUUUUUCUAAUUUUAUCAAAAUCUAGCAGAAAAAUUUUGUUCUUCAGUUUAGUAACUCAGAUUUGCUUCUGUAAUCAGUUGUAAAAAUUGUUGCUUUUUGUUGCCACUUUGACGAGAGAGAAAAAAAAAAUGGCAUCUUUAUCCUUUUGACUUGAAGGGUUACUGUAGUUUCUAAGUAAUCUCUGGAUCUGCUACAGGACUCAAUUUGAGAGAGCAAAUUUUCUAUGAGUAUAUGGUAUUCUACUUCAAAUUUUCAUGGUAAUUGUUAUGGGUGCAGUGAUGCAGAUCAUAACAAGCUAUCUAAGUUCAUUAGGCUUCGAACUAUAAAUUUUCUAAUCAAAUUUUUAAUCAAUUGCACUAGAUGGAUGGGAACAAAACACACAUCCUAAGGCUCCGUUUAGUUCGGAAAUUAAUAAGAACUAGUUAUAUCGGGAAUAGAUAUAAGUAUGAAUUUUUGUAAGAACAAGAAUAUUUUUUUAUUUGGAUGAAAUUGUGAGUAUAAACUGAAACUAGAAAAAUUGUGUUUAGAUGGUUAUUGGGAAUAAGAGAAAUAGUUGGUGGUUAUAAAUAAAAAAUAAUGAUAUUACCCAUAUAAUUAAAUUUAAAUUUUUAAAAUUUAAAAUUUAAAAUUUAAAAUUUAAAUAUUCAAAUUUUUAAAUUGAAAAUUNUUUAAGUUUUAAAUUUAAGACCAAAUUUAAAUUUGAAAUAUAUAAAAUAUCAAAUUUAAAAUUUAAAAAUUUCUAAUAACAAAUCUAAAAUUUAAAUUUUAAAUUUUAUAAUUUAUAAUUUUAAAUUUUAAUUUUAAAAUUACAAAAUUUAAAUUUUAAAUUUUUAAAAUAAAACUCUCUCUGUCUACCCAGUGGGUGGGAACAAGCUUGUUCCUUGGUGGGAACUAUUGUUCCCACCCCUUACCGGGUUAUAUCAGGUAUAACCCGGUAAGGAGUGGGAACAAUAGUUUUCACCAAUUUUUUUUUUUUUUAUUUGGGUAUAAAGGGUGAUAACCCUCUUAUCCCCCUUCAUACCCGAUCCAAACAGGUCUAAAAGUAAAAGGAUGGAGGGAUUAGGGGUUUGUAUUUGCUAAAAACAAAGAAAAGGUAGUAUGAACAGGACCACCAAAAAAAACUUUGGACAGAAGAAACUUCUGGGCCCCACAAAUGCUCUCGCUCCCAGAAAACUCCAGAGGCUGGUCGUUGUGACUUGCGAGAGGUAAGACCGUAAAAGUUACGAGUGAGGUGGUGCGCGCGCCAAAAAGCGCACCCCAAAAUAAUAAUAUGACAAAAAUGAAUAAACAUAAUAAUAAUAAGUGACCAUACGUCUUUCUCACUUGCAAAAUUAAAUCGAUCGAACGAAUGUCACAAUAUAUAUAUAUAUAUAUAUAUAUAUAUAUAUAGAGAGAGAGAGAGAGAGAGUAGGGCUAGAAUAUUUUUACAAGUAUCAACUAAGUGAUACUUGUGUAUUUUUAACCAUUGGAUCUACUUUUUGAUUACUAAUAGCCUUUAAAGUCAAACAUAUUCCACCUACCACACCUACCACCAUCAUCUCAACCUCACAUCUCUCCAUCCAAGGGCUAAAAACACACAGUAUUUACCCCAUAAUACUUUUACAAGUAUUCUAGUCUACUAUAUAAUAUAUAUAUAUAUAAUAUAUAUAAUAUAUAUAUAUAUAUAUAUAUAAUAUAAGAUGAGCUACUAUGCUAUCGGAAGCACGGAGCCUUCGUGCUUCACUCAUUUUCGAUGUUGCGACUUUCGAAUCGUCGAUCGGCUCCGUUAAACUUGAUCUAGAGUAUUUGAAGUACCUAGAAAAUAAAUUUUUUAUUUUUCGAUAUCAUUUGCCUAGUGAUCGAAUGGCUCAAAUAACAAAUUUCAAUGGUCGUAGUGAGCCGUUUUGCAAGUUUAACGGUGUAGAAAUAUCCAAAUCACGUGAAAUUUUGAUAGAAAAUUCUUUAUACUAUAUAAAACAAGAUCAAUAUCUUUGAUUUAAAAUUUUAAUGUCAUAUUAUCACAUUUUGUAAGAUUUUUAUUUUCAGCCGUUGAUUUUAAGCUCCUUCGUUCACUAGGCAAAUGAUAUCGAAAAAUAAUAAAAUUUAUUUUCUAGGUACUUCAAAUACUCUAGAUCAAGUUUAACGGAGUCGAUCGACGAUUCGAAAGUCGCAACAUCGAAAAUGAGCUGGAAGCACGGAAGGCUCCGUGCUUCCGAUAGCAUAGUAGCCUCGCUCUAUAUAUAUAUAUAUCUACGUAUUAUAGAAACAUAUAGAUCUGGUGGUUUUUUGCUCGACGAAUAAAAAAAAAAUCUGUGAAUAGACAAUGGAUGGAAUUUUUCCUCAACGUGUUAGUCACUAAAAAGGCAAGAGAAAUUGUAGGAAGAAGAUGGCGACCUAAUAAUACAAAGGAACAACGGAAACAAAGAUACAUCUAUAGAUCGAAGAAUAUUAAAAUAUAACUCGAAAAUAAAAUGGACUAAAUUAAAUCGAAACCCAAAAUAAGCAGCAAAUUUCUAGUCGAUAUGCCAAAAAUAAAAAAGAAAAAAAAACUAAAGCGUAAUCUGUAGAGAGAGAGAGAGAGAGAGAGAGAGAGCGAGCAAGAGAUCAAAAGAUCUAAACAUACCUAUAGACCGAGCCAUAUUACAAAACGAAAUGUACAAAAACAAAUGAGAAUGUUUUUUUUAUAUACUGGAAAUCAAGGAGAGCAGGUCAAUAACUACUGAAAAAUAUACUCAAAACGAACGAAAAAAGCCGGGAAAAAAAAGAGAAAACACAAAUAAAAGUAGGACAGAAAGAAAACACGGAAGCAGCUAGAAAUUAAAACACAUAUAGAUCGAGCGAUCAUUCCAUCAGUAAAUAGGUCUACACACACAUCGAUCGAUUGAUCAAUAGCAAAAUCUGCACACAUAUCGAUCGAUCAUUCGAUCAAUAAAUAAAUCUGCACAUACACACAUCGAUCGAUUGAUCAAUACCAAAAUCUACACGCACGCACACACACAUCGAUCGAUCGAUCGAUAGAAAAAUCCACACACACACACACAAAGAGAGAGAGAGAGAGAGAGAGACCUGCGAGAGAAGGCGAAAGGAGAGAGGUGGCCGGAGGAGUCGGUGGCCGCCAAGCCGAAGGCCUUGCGGGAGUGCUCCUCCGCGGGCGAAAGCUUCUCCCCGUUCUCCGUCGACGGCGCCAUUGAUGCUCCUUCGCGAGAUCGCUCGAGAGAUCGCGAGAGAGAGAGAGAGAGAGAGAGAGAGAGAGAGGAGAUGCGAAUGAGGGAAUCGUGAAACACUGGGAAAGAGCGUACGCUCGGGGCCGUUGCAUUUAUAGCGGGGCUCGGGGUGGGGUGGGGUGGGGUCGGGCAGAGCGAAAAGGCGUGGCGAGCUCAGAAGAGUGUAGUAGCCACAAGCCCUCCUUGCUGACGUCACCAGUGACAUUUUGCGUUUACGUCCCUCGUGUUCGAAUUACGGACCAAAUUAAUUGGGUUAAGAAAAAUGCUACAUGUACGUUCCUCGUAUCAAUUACAAAUUAAUAUAGACGAUGAUAAAAAGACUAUGGUGUAUGACUCAUACAUCUAUAUCUGUAUUAUUAGUCUUACAAAUAGAGCCUUGCUCUUACAUUUAAUGCACUAUUCAUAAUUCACAACCUAAUAAGUUUUACGUACGGUUGGUAGCCGAAAUCUCUAAUCUCUGACCUGAUCAAAGAUCCUCCUCGAGGAGCGCGUCAGGAUGCGAAACGACUGUGAAUAGUGAUCCUCGAAGUUUGCGCCCUUCGAUUGAUCAAGCGAUUCAGCUAACGAGAGAACGGGUCAGCCAAAUUCGAAACCUUUACAGCAAAUUCGGUUCAGCUAGAUGAGCCGAAUGAACAAAAGAAGUCAGAAUUUCAGCCAAUGAAUGAGCCGAAUAGCUAAUACAGCACAUGAACUGGUCGGCCUGAAGAGCCGAACACUGCCUUCUAUUGAAAGAGAACGGAGAAAGUACAGGAAAGAGGGUUUUAGUCUACAGCGGAGUGAUGCCCAAAGGGCAGACAGACUCCAGAAUGCUAAGUUACAGGAACUACUCCUAGGGAAAGCAGUAAAUGCGAGAAAGAAAGAUGCAGGAAAAAUAAGGUUGGUCUUUUAUGCGCAGAGGUCAAGACCCUUUUUUCAGGAUACUAUAUGCCUAUUUAUAGAGUUGUCCCUGCGCUGGUUAUUGCCCUCGCACAAUCAGCCACUAUCUCCUGGUUUGUAGGACCACCUUCGGCCGAUCGGAACCGCUCGUAACAGCUUGCGGUUGCUAUAACUCCUUGAUCCAGCGCAGCUCAUGUAUCUUCUAGUGCGUCUGAUGUACUCCCGGUCCACCGUCUUAACCAUAUCAUGGAUAUGGACCCGGCGUGCCAGCUGUUCGUGCCGAAUUGGCUUAACUCCUACAUUUUAAUUUUGGGAUAAUUUCAUUAAUACCCCUCUGAAAAAUCAUAAUUUCAUGAAUAACCCUCCAAACUAAAAAAUAUCAUCAAUAUCCCUCUUAAAACCAAAAAUGUUCACAGAUACCCUUUUAGAUUAACUUUCCGUCAAGUGGUCAUCCAAUAUUUUAUAAAUACCAAUUUUACCCCUAGCAACAAUUUAAACAUAUAAUAUUUAAGAUUAAUUAUAUGAUCAAUUUUUAACAUUUGAAUCACAUAAUAAUUUAACAUUAUUUCUAAAAUAUUACAAUUAAAGAUCUAUAGUCUAUUAAGUGUGAUAGUUAAAUCUCAUUAUGAUUUUUCGCUUUUAAAUUAUACAUAGUUAUAAUGCAAUUUGUCUAUAGUAGAAUUCAACAUUAACUAUUUAAAGAUUUAUUUUUAAAAAUUUUAUUUAAAUAACUCACAUAUCUCAUGCUAAAAAUAUUUUGAUAUCAAAAUUCUCUAUAUUAGAGUAUUACUUAUAUGAUCUGCUCAAACAAAAAUUUUUUAAUUAAAAAUUUAUUAUUAACAAUAAAGUAAAAUUUUAUGAAAACUCUCUCAUCUAUAGUCCACUUCGACAUGAUCCUAACUUGGAAAAGCGUGAAAUUUGAUUUUCAGAUAGUUUAAAUGGUUUAUAUCAUGUUUAAUGAUGCCGAUUGUCAAUUUGAAAGUCCUAUCAUUGAAAAUAAAUCGUAGUAAAUCAAGCUGUACUACCGAUAGUAUUAUAACAAAACUCUCUCUAUAUAUACCCUCUCAACAUAAGUGUUUUUUUUUUAAAUUUUAGCAAUUGAGUGUUUUAUCCCAAUAAAAUUAAAAAUAUUAUCAAUUUCAUGUGAGGGAUCUCAAUUAAAUUUUUUUUAACUAAGUAAAGUCAAAAUAAAGAAAAACUGAUAAUUCAAGGUCUCUUAAUGUUAAAAAAUAAAACUUGAAGCAGUCUAGUUCAAAAUGAUCUAUAGGUGAGGGAUUUCUUUAUUUUUUACCCACUAAUAGUUAGUGUUAGAGAUGUUAUUUUUAAAAUUUAGAAGGGUACUUAUGAAAUUGCCCCUUAAUUAUUUGCUAUCAAAAUAACACCUAACCCUUUUAGAGCUAAAUUAGUCAUUUUGUAACUCAAUUUUUAUUUAACUAAACUUUAACUAUGGUUAUAGCAACAGUCGUUAAAAGGAAAGGUAAUUGUGAAAAUAUUUUGCAUUUGAAGGGGUUUAUAUGAUAUUUUUAACUUUAUAGAGAUAUCUACGAUAUUUACAUAUUUGAGAGGGGUAGUGGUGAAAUUGACCCUUAAAUUUUAGUCUUCGAUCUACAUAUUAUUUUCUUUCAUUUCAAUUAGAUUCUAAUAGUUCAAUUCAAAUAAAUUUUUGCCUCCUCUUAUAAAUUGCAAUCGUAAUUAGAAAGCUACUGACCAAUUCAAGCAUUAAUUAUUUUUAAUUUUUUAAACAGUUUGAUAAUACUUUUGUUGAUGUCAAGUAUACCAGGUCAAGAUACUUCAUAUAUAGAAGGCAAUAGCCAUCGUACGUAAGGUCUAAGUGAUUGAUUAUAGGCGUAUAAAAAAGUAUUGGCGUGAUAAAAUUAGGCUUCACGUGAAGUGGAGAAAGAGAUCGGGGAACCAAAGUUGAAUCAAAAUUAAAAAUAUAUAUAUAUAUAUAUAUUUUUAAAUAUAUAUUUUUUGAAUCAAAAUUAAAAAAAAUUCAGAUAAAAGUUGGAACCAAUGGUACAGUUAAUCCAAACUACUUUCUUAUUCAUGGACGAGAAUCUCAAGAAAGAAAAAAAACAAUUUCAAUUUUGAAUGUUUGUUGUAUUUUGUUUUGUGUUGUCUUUUUUUUUUUUUUGGUUAAUUUUGUAAGUUUCUACGAAUAAAAUUUGCAGAUUAAGUACCUGGAUGAUUGGGUGCGAAUAUAUGGUGCUUUAAUUGCAGAUUAAGUACCUGGAAUUUAGUAGACCUAAUGCAAAGUAUCCAACUUCAGCGUAUAAAUGUGAAAUUGAAUUAUAGAAAUCCUGAAAACGACAAAAUGAAAUAUUCACAACUAAAAUUAUUUUGGUAAUAAAAUUUAGACUUCCCACUAUUAAUAUAUAAUAAUAAAAAGUGGGAUUAUAUUUUUAUAUUUAUUUAUUUAUCUUAUAAUUAUUAUUUUAAGAGGACUCAAAUGAUCCUUCUCCGUAAUUUCACAACUUAGGCAUAGCAUAGCGUUGUACUUUUCCCAUCGAUGAGAGAUAAUCGAAGUUGUUGCUGAUGCAAGCAAUAACGCAAUACAUAUAUAUAUAUAUAUAAUCGAAGUUGUUGCUGAUGCAAGCAAUAACGCAAUAUAUAUAUAUAUAUAUAUAUAAUCGAAGUUGUUGCGGAUGCAAGCAAUAAACGCAAUAUAUAUUAUAUUAUACAUAUUUGAUUAGUUUGAGGACAUAAUUUAUUUUAUAUUAUUCAUUCAUUUAGCUACAAGUGAUCAAUUACCAAUAUUAAUUUUACGUGAAGCUUCUCUCAUUCGAUGUCUAAUGGAAGAGCUUAGAAGCUCUCCAUCUCAACCUACGAUUGGCGCAUAACUACAAAAACUCUUUUAUUUUAUAUCCCUUUUAUAAAAUUUGGAGCAAUUGGUUCUUUACACUGUAAUAUCAAUAUUUUAUCUUAAUUAAGACUCAAAUAAACUCACUCCAGUAUCAACAAAACAGUAAUUUAGCUUUUCAGUGCACUUCUCAAGUUUAAACCGAUAAAAUCUACAAUGAAAUGUUAUUAUGCAUGUUGCAUGAUAUGAACUCGAGACUUACAACACAUAACAACCAAACUUUUUGCGUGAAUAAUUUAGUACAAGUACAUAGGACUAAAUAAAAUUACACGCGAGGAUUGGAUGGGAGCGUGGAACUGAACGGUUCAUUUUGGGCUCUCUCCAUUCUAGUCCAAAACAAGAGUCACAUCAGAGAUGUGUGCGUCUGCAUUGCACCACCGUGCGUGUACGACACAAAAGCUAGCUCACGCCGUGUCCGUGUGUAACUUGAAUUUUUCUAUGUUUGAUUUGAAGAUCAAAACUAAAUUUAGUUUUAUUUGGAUUCGAAUUCAGAACUCAUAACAUGCACGUCAGGUGUUUUCAUGAGAUAGGUAUCUCAUAAUAUCAUUACGAGCAAUGCUUCAAUACUCCAUUGUAAUCUUAGCCGUUUAUUUUUAAUCAAUGAAGGGUUAAGAUUUAUGCAUAAAAAAAGAUGACCUGCUAUUGCACAAGAAGUAUCAGUCACCAGGUAUGUGAUGUAGAAAUUUUUUUGAAAAAAAAAGAGUUAAUAUUAAAAAAUUAAAUAAUUAAUAUUGAAAAGUUUUGCAUACUACCCUUAAAUCAUGGAGAGAAUAAAUUUUUAAUUAAAUUGUCCAUUUUUAAAGCCGAUUUUAAUAAUAAUUUAUGAUCGCAUUUGAGUCAUAAAUUUAGUAAUUUAUAAUUUAAAAUUAAUUUUCAAACAUCGAAACUUUAUGUUUAAAUAGUUAACAAAAUUUAUUUUUUAAGUAUAAUAUAAAUUAAAUCUAAAUUUAUAAUUUAAAUUUGAUCAAUAUUUUUGAAAUUUAAUGCUGUUUUUCAAUAUUGAAUUAACAAUUUCAACUUACUUUAAAAUGUAGAAAUCUUUUAUUUAAAUAAAUAAUAAAAGUUUAUAAAUACACUAUAACUUAAAUUACAAUUUUAAAGAUAGUAACAUUAAUUUUUGAACUUUCAUGUUAGUUUAAUAUUGAAUUGAUAAUUUGAAUUGAAAUGUUUACUCGUUUAAAUAUAAAUUUUUCUUUCUAAAAUUUAAAUUUAAUUUAUACAAUUAUAAAUACAAAGUUUAAACUCAAGUUAAAUUUUAAAUUCGAAUUUAUGAAGAUUUAUCACUUAUGAAAUUAGCCAUUAUCUAAGUUGGUAAGUAACAAAAUUAAAUUAGGAAAUGAAGAUUUGUUGGAUAUUAUCAAAUUUGGUAAUUAGCUAAUUGCAUAGUUUCAAAUAUUAUCUUUAUGAUUGAUUAGUAACCUGUUGAGCAGGUUAUUAUUGUGUAAAAGUCAAUCUUAACCUCAAAAAUUGGAUGGUCAGAUUUAAAUUGGCCGGUGUAUAGAAGUAUUUCUCUAUUAUUACAUGUCUUUAUUUAUUGUACUAACAUCAUAAAAAAUUUUGUUGGAGGAUAAUUUUAUAAGGUACAUGAUCACAAACCAACUAAAAAUACAUUCUAAUAUACCGACUUUUUCUAGCGCAAGUGGCAAAAGACUUGAUAAUUGGUAUUUGAAAUUCCAAGUUCGAAUUCUAAUUAAUUCACAUUUUCAGCUAAGUUUAUUCUUAAAUGAAUAAACGAAACGGAUAGCAUGCUAUCCAUCUCUCAAAAAUAAACAUUCUAAUAUAUAUAAAAAAAAAGGUGAUGUUCAUUUAAUGCAAUAAAAAAACAUUCUAACCGUGCAAUAAAAAACAUUCUAAUAUAGAAAAAAAAAAGGUGAGGUUCAUUUCAUGUAAUGGAGAUAUACAAAUUUUCUCUAUUACGGAGAAUAUGAAAUUCAAGACAUUAAGGAUGCAUUUGGUUCGCACUGUCUUUUUAAGAUUUUCGGUAAUUCAAUUCAAUAGGAAUAAGAAAAAAUGACGGUGUUUAGUUAAACGUACUAAAUAAUCUAACUAGUGAUCGACUUGAAAAUGUGAUUCAUCCCAAAGUACUAAGCUCAUUAUCUUGAUGAAGGAUAUGUAUCCUUAUAUUAAUAUAUUAGUAAUCAUAAUGUAUCUAAUAUUUUUCUUUAUUGCUAUCUGUCGACUAGUUGGUAUUAUUUUCUUUUACUCUCUAACCUUAUAUCUCUUUCUAAAUUUUAACUCAUUUUCUCUAAGUUAAACUCUCUUUACCCCUUUUUUUUUUCCUAAAAUUUCAACUCUCUUACUCUCUCUCUUUUUCUUUAAUUAUGCUCUCUCUCCGACAUGUGUUCUCUCUCUUUUUUUAAAAAAAAGAUGAUGAAUUUUUGAUAGCAUUAUUUAAAAUUAAUUAACGAAACAAUACAUUAAUUGUAUAUUUUUCGUAAUCUAAAAUUAAUAAUAUGACUAAAUAAUAUUAAUUACCGUGCGAACCAAAUACCGAAAUGUCACUUUCUUAGUAAUAGGAUGAGUAGGAAUAAGAUUCUUUGAUAUUUUUUUAUUCCUAGUAAUCUUUCAUUAUGCGAACCAAACAUGUUCUAAACCCAAUCAAAUGAGUAAUAAAAGUCAUUGCAAAUUAUAAAUCAUUUAAAUAAUUGAUUUAUCGAUCCAAUCCACUGGUUUGGAUGCUACCAAACAAAUGAAGGGUAAGCCUCUGUUGGACUAAUUGGGGUUCAAUUGUUGGAAUCGUCCUAGGCCCAUUGCAUCUAUUUGGCCUUUAAAACUCAGCCCAAUAAAAUGGAGCACAAUCGAACUUGUCAACGUUUAGGCCCAAUAGUGGCCCAAACAACAAGUACGAAGUCAAAAACGUAAAUAGAGAUGGAAAGAACCCUUCAUCUCUCUCUCUCUCUCUCUCUCUCUCUCUCUCUCUGCGUUCUCGGGAGCUCUCUCUUCGUUCUCGAGAGCUCGGCAAUGGCGUCGUCGUCCCCGGACCUCCUCUUCGGCCUUCGCAAUAGCUUCUACCUCGGCGCCUACCAAGGCGCGAUCAACAACAGCGACAUCCCCAACCUCGGCCCUGACGACGCCAUCGAGCGCGACUCCAUCGUCUACCGCUCCUACAUAGCCCUCGGAUCCUACCAGGUUUCCCUCCAUCUCCUCCUCCUACUUCGAUCGAUCCCCCUUUCUCUCAUCUCCUCCUCGGUCUCUUCGAUUGACCCCGUAAAUUUGUGAUCUCUGAUCGGAUCUCGCCGCGUUUCGAUGCAGCUCGUGAUCAGCGAGAUCGACUCGUCCGCGCCCACCGCGCUUCAGGCCGUGAAGCUUCUCGCGCUCUACUUCGCCGGAGACAAGGUUGGUUGAUUUGCGGGUGCCAGAUCUAGUAUAGUCUGUUAGAUCCGGAUCUGACGGGAUCUGUAUGUUACGAAUUGCGACUUACUUGAGUUCAGUUUUGUGAUCCAAUGCUUGUUUUCGAUUAAGUGUUGUUUAAAUGCCCUAGAUUUCAGAGUGUUGAUCCUAAUUUUGAUCUACUUUAGUGAUUUGAAGUUUGGUUUCAAUUGAAAGCAGGAGCGUAUAGUAUUUUUGGUGCUCUAGAUCUCAGAGUAUUGAUCUUUGUGCGUUCCAUUUUUAUCCAAUUUAGUGAUCCAAAGCUUGGUUUCAGAGCGUGGGCGUAGUGUAGUUUUGAUGCCUUAGAUUUCAGAGAUCUGAUCUUAGCGCAUUCCACAUUGAUGAAUAUCGCUUUGAUGUUCCGCGGAUCACAUCCCAACUGGCUGAUUAGUAUGAGUAGGUAGCAAGACAGAUAUGUGCCUUCUUGGAUCAUCCUCUUUCUUUCAGGCCUUAUGCUUCAAUCUUGAAUAUCUAUUAAACUGAGAAUUACAAGGUGCUCUGGUAUUACCAAACGUUUGUUAUUUAAGCAGACCUACAGAACCGUAAUGUAGUAACUAGUUGGUAAAGGAAAUAUUUAACCUUAGUUUCUAUGGAGUGUUUCUAGAGCCACCAUAACUUGUUAUAUGUAUAUAAAUAGUUGCAUCACACUUGGACAUCCUACGUAGAAAAUUAGAAGAGAAACAUUCUCCGUGAGCUCUUAUAAUUUGGGUUGAAGUAGUUCAUAUACCGUAUAGCUAAUGUAAUCUGCGCUCUGUAUGUCAUUGCAAUCUCUUCUGCUCAUUCAGUUGUUCAUUAAAAAGAUUAAAUUUUCAGUAUAAUUUAUCCUGUAUUCUUUCCCGUCAAAGUGGUUCUGUAAAUAUCUGAAGCUGAUUGAGUUUUCCCUGGUUUUCUUUAAAAGGAAGCUGCAAUUUCUGGUCUCCAAGAGUACUUGAGUGAUUCGGCCAUAGGAAACAAUCCUGUUCUGCGACUAAUUGCAGGGAUUAUAUAUAUGCAUGAGCAAGACUACAAUGAGGCUCUCAAGCAUACCAAUUCUGGAGGAACUAUGGAAUUGUGAGUUUUUAUUUCUCAUUAGUGUUUGCAAGAAAUAACUUUCUUCCAACAAAGGUCUCAAAUAUUGCGGUGCAACUGAAUAUAGAAAGUAAACAAAUGCUCCUAUUGUUGUGGAGAAUGAUAAUCAGGGGUCAAUAACAAAAUUAGUUUCCAUCCCAAUUGGAUGAAAUAGUUGUUUCGCACCAGUUUUCCUUUGACGCGUUUGGCGGAAUAUGUGGAAUAAUUUUUGUGUCAACCCAGUGUUAUUCACUAACUAAUCAGUGCCGAGUGAUGGCUAAUCUAUGAAAACUUUGUUCUAGGAGACAAAUUAAUUUCAUUAGUUUGAUUCAACUUCUUCUUUGCAGGCAUGCAUUGAAUGUACAAAUUUACAUUAAGAUGUAUCGGUCAGACUAUGCAGAGAAACAACUUAAGGUCAUGCAACAAAUUGAUGAAGACCAUACACUGACUCAACUUGCAAAUGCAUGGCUAGACCUAGCUGUGGUAAAACUCUUUUCACUAAUUUAGACAUGUUUAUAGAGAUCUCAGCUGUUUUAAUAUUGAUCAUAGUGUUUUGCAAUGUUAGGGUGGAUCUAAGAUACAGGAAGCAUAUCUUAUCUUCGAAGACUUCUCUGAAAAGUAUCAGAUGACUGGGAUGAUACUCAAUGGGAAGGCAGUUUGCUGUAUGCACAUGGGGCGAUUUGAUGAAGCUGAAACUCUAUUGCUUGAAGCGCUAAACAAAGUAAGAUUAGAACAUCCUUUUCUUCUUCUCAAAAACUGUUGAAAGCUAAUUUUACAGCCAUAAAACUAAGAGAAUCUUGUUUUUACCUUUAAUAGGAUGCGAAAGAUGCAGAAACUCUCGCGAACCUAAUUGUGUGCAGUCUCCACCUUGGCAAAUCCUCAUCUCGAUACUUCAAGUGAGUGAACAAUGUAUUAUGUAUUAAAAUUAGGAAGAUAUGCAUCACCGUCUCAGUUUUCUUUUUUUUUUCCUUUGUGCCAAUAACUGUACGUUACUGGCAUUUCGUGGCCGGUUUCUUCUCAUAGUUUCCUUCUAAAUUUAUCAUGCCACACAAAUCAUAUAUUGCUUGCUUAUUUCCCUGUUUUGCUUCUGCAGCCAGCUGAAGCUGUCGCAUCCCGAUCAUACGCUCGUCAAGCGUGCCGCCUCUGCCGAAGAUAGCUUUGACAGAGCUCUUCAAGCUGUCGCAUAAAGCCUUUGUUAUUUCAGCUCCUCAAGGGGAUGCAACAUAGCUUCUGCUUUUUUAAUGCACCAUUUUGAAUCCGCCUUACACUGUUGCUUUCUUAAUCAUGUCGCGUAAUGUUACAUUGAAUUGAAAAGAUGUAGUCUGUUUGUCCUUUUCGACAUUUCUUAUGCCUUUGUUAGAUCAUUAUGUCCAAGUCAUGGAGCUUAAAGUGUUUUUUUUUUUUUUCCUGUAUUAGAAAAUUAUCCCCCUUUUUUAAUGAGUCUCUCUGAAAAUUGUAUUCUUUGUAAUCCGUCACUGCUGCUGCUGAUCAAGGUAGCUGUAAGUUGGCCUAUAAUUAGUCAUGGUUUGGUCUGAUUUUUAUUUCUUGGUGUUUUACAACUGGCCAAAGAGAAUCUGGUGAAGCAGUUCUUCAAUUUUUUUUAUUUUUUUAUUUUUUUAUUUUUGCUUUUUUGUUGUUUUUUUUAUGAAGAACCUUUGUCGAGUCGACGUGAAUGAAUGAUGGGCUAAAAAUAAACUCAUUCACUGCUAUUGCUAAUUUUUGGUCUACUAUAACUUCGAGCCGAGGGGUAUGUGACUUUUUUUUUCCGUCCAAAACGGAAAAAUGGUUCAAAUUUGGAAGUUCAAUUACCUGAAUUAUGAUUGUCUGAUCCUAUGAUUAUGAACCAAGUGUAGACUCUGGCUAAAUGGCCUCAUAAAUCUGGUGAUAAGAUGCUUCCACAUCCUGUAUGCUGUAAGUAUAUGCUAUUUUGAAUCUACAAUGUUUCAAUUUGAAGAAGGAAAUAGGGAAAAAAAAAAAGAAGAAAAAGAUAAGGGUAAAUAUUGCAUAAGAAGUUCACAGAAUACAUAAUUUUGAUAUUGGACUAUUAUUUUUUGUUUUUUAUCUUUCACAGAGGAUAAGCACUCACGAAGAACAUUGUUGAAUGGCGCUACGCAAACUCGAGAACGAGGUACAUAAAACCAAACCUUCAGGAGCAAUCUUCACCUAUGCAGGGGCACUUGUAGCUCGACGGCAGGCGCUUGCCGCAGUCCGCGAGCAUCUGGAGGGUGAUGGGGAGGAGCAAGUCCACGUCCAUGAGCUUCAACCGGAUGGCCAUGCACAGGCAUACGGCGGCGUCCAUGCCCAUCAACCACUUGAUCACAGGGCAGCAUGCCUCCUUCGCCUUCUUCCCGAUCCCGACGUGGACUAGCCCAUCAAGGAUGUCGACGCACAUCCCGAGCUUGAGCGCGUUUAUCGGGCACUUCUUUGGCGGGGAGGGCGCAGGGGCAGGCGAAGGCGACGGGGGGUGUGGCUUCGGUGAUGGAUGUGGCGACGGAGGUGAUGGUCGCGAUGGUGGCGGCGACGGUGUUGGUGUCGGUUUCUCAAACGCGAUUCGCCGGCAAUCGGGACAUGGAAAGAGAGAAAAGAGUGGAGCUUGGAGCACAAGCAGAAUGAGUAAGACGGUGGCCACUGCAUACCUCCCCAUGCUUUUGCAGAGAAGUGCAUGAGGUUUUGGCAUGUAGUAUUUAUAGGCACGAAAUGCAUAGGAGUGCAUGCAUUUGUUAUGCCUUUGUGUUUCCUGAUACAACUAAACUAGCUUGUUGAGCCUCUGGGGCUUUAUCCUUUUCCUUCUCCGUAGUAACUUGCAGUUUUAUGCUUUCCUACUGAAUCUCUUACAAACAACCCACAAAAUACGUGGAAGGAGAUAGAAAUUUAAUAUGCUGUUCACAAGUCACAACACAGAUGUAAAGAUGAAGUAAGAGCCUAUUCAGCCCAAUGAUUCAAACAUCGCGAAAAGAACCGAAUGAAUUUUUAAGGGAGAGACCAAAUACAACGCAGAUCCACCGGUUCAUAAGAGCAGUACUGUUAAAAACUAACACAGAUUCAGGUUCCGGUUAUGGAUUCGUAUUUUUCGCUCAGCAUAGCUGAAAAAAGAUGGCUAAUUUUGAGUGGUUCGUGAAUAACUGCGUUUACGGCAUCCGCCAUUUCGUUUGGACAUCUAUACCCAUCAGUGUUCAUGUAGCAUAGGUGAAGUAUUCUGCACAUAUUCCAAAAUGGGUCCUUGCAAGGUCUUGGAAUUGCACCUCCCUCCUUCAGCACCGGCCUUAGUAAUUCCUCUCGACAAGUUUCGUCGGAUCUCCGUACCUCCCUUACCGCGUCUUCGACGGAGGUGGAAGGGCUGCCGUGAAGCACGCGGAGUGAGAUGCUAUUCAACUUCCCUUCAUUGCCUUCUCUCUGCACCAAUUUAAAGAAACAGGUCUGGAGUAGUUCAUAAGUAAACUUUAUUAGGAUAGGAUGGAAAUUCGCUUCCUCCAAUCUAUUUGUGUUACUAAAUUUUGCACUUACUACUUGGAAUUACAUCGUAACCUUGCAGGUCGUUUAAAAGACGGCCGCAUGUGCUUACAAGUCUGAACAAUUCAUGGUAUUCUGGAUCUGCGACGGCCUCAUCCGAAAGCUUUGGACCAACAAAGUAGAGAGCCACCGACUGUCCCUAAAGCAAGUGGCAAAGGGUUUGGUGGUUGAUAUUCGAGAUCCCAAGUUCGACUCCUACUUGAUUCAUAUUUUUAGUUAAAUUUAUUUCUAAAUAAAAUAACCGAAGCAGGUAGCGUACUAUCUAUCUCUCUCUCUCUCUCUCUCUCUCUCUCAAAAAAAAAAAAAAAAAAAAAAAAAAAAAAAAAAAAAAAAAAAAAAAAAAACCGUAGAGAGCCGGGAGAAUGAUGGGGUCCAAAGCAAAGGAAACAAAUCCAUUUUCCAUGUACUGCUCUAUCGUGGGCACCGUUUUGUUCCUCAGACACUCCGCCUCGUUCAUCAUGGACCGAAAUAAGCUAAGCCACUGUCGUUUGCAUCGCUAUAUUCUGGGAGUCGUAAGUUCUUUUGAGUUUUUGUUAUUACAAGGUAAAAAUAUACAGAUCUCAGUUGAACUGUAGAAUACUUUAAAAGUUCAUUACCCAACGUCUAAAUUUAUUUAAUUUAAAUCAGUGGACGACACUUUUGAGUCAUUAACUUUUUCCCUUCUUUGUAAUAAUUUGCAGUUUUAUUGUUUCAUACUGAAUUUCUUACAAAUAAACCCACAGAUACGUAAAAGCAAGAGGAAAUUAAAAUACAUUCACAACACAGAGGUUAAAAAAAAAGAAAGAAAUAAACAACACAAAAAUUCAAACAACAUGAAGAGAAACCAAACGAACUUUAAAAAGACCAAAUCAGAUAGAGAUCCAGAGCUAGGUUCUCGACAGUAGUACAUUUUUUUUUUUCUAUUAAGAGAUUUUAAUGAUAAUGACAUAAUUUAUCGAUGAUGAGCAGCUCUUGGCGACCCAAUAUUUUCGAUUAUAGACAACAAAAUACACAUUGAUUCAGCUCCUGCUAGGAACAACCAAAUCACACGGAUUCAGGUUCGAGUUUGGAAUUUGUAUUCGUAUUUUCGCCGGGUACAGCUGACAAAAGAUGGCUAAUUUUGAGUGGUUCAUGAAUAACUGCGUUCACAGCACUCACCAUUUCCUUUGGAGACGUAUAUCCAUCAGUGUUCAUGUAGAAUAGGUGAAGUAUUCUGCACGCCUUCCAAAAUAAGUCCUUGCAGCUUCGAGGAAUUACAGAUCCUUCCUUCAGCACUAGCCUUAGCAAUUCUCUCCGCGAAGUUUCGACAGAUCUCUUAAUCUCCAUUUUAGCCUCUUCUAUGGAGGCGGAAGAGCCGGCCUGAAGAACGAGGAGAGAGACGCUGUUCAACUUUCCUUGUUUACCUUCUCUCUGCACCAGUUUGCAGUAAUAAGCGUCCAAAUGAUAAUGAUUAAAAACCACAAGGAGCUUGAAGAGAAAGUGGGGGAACAAAAUUAAGGCUCUAAUAGGACGGGAAUUCGCUUCCUCCAAUCUAUUUGUGUUACUAAAUUUUGCACUUCCUCCAAUCUAUUUGUGCUUACUAAAUUUCGCACUUCCUCCAAUCUAUUUGUGCUUACUAAAUUUUGCACUUACUGCUUGUAUUACCUCGUAACUUUGCAUGUCGUUUAGAAGACGGCCGCAUAUGCUCACAAGUCUGAACAAUUCAUGGUAUUCUGGAUCUGCAACGGCCUCUUCCGAAAGCUUUGGACCAACAAAGUAGAGAGCCGGGAGAAGGACGGGGCCCAGAGCAAAGGAAACAAAUCCAUUUUCCAUAUACUGCUCUAUUGUGGGUGCCGUUUUGUUCCUCAUCCACUCUGCCUCUUCCAUCAUGGUCCUUAUCGCGCUAAGCCACUGUCGUUUGCAUUGCUAUGCGUCAAAGUCUUUUCAAGAUAAAUGGUUCCCGGUUUAAAUUGAGACACAGGUUAUUCCUACAAUACAUAUAUACCCUGUAAAAUAUGAAUUCUCAUACAAUCUGAAUUGUGAAAAAGUCGGUUUUGUAUUUGCAAAAAGAUUUUCUGAAGAGAAGCAUCAUAGCAAGGGUUGUAACAUGCUUUUGGAAUGGUGCAUGUGAAAACUCGCAUAUUGCAGGGAUUUACAGGCGAUUUUGCAGGGGAAUAUAUGUAAAUGUCUGAAUUCGGUAAGUUGUAAGAUCUCACUAUUUCAACUAGGUGGCCGGUGACGCUGCGAUUUUGUACUACUGACGCCUUAGCUCCAAGCUCAUUGAUUGUGCUGUAAACAGCAGAAAACAAAAUCUCCACGUGCUCAGAGCAGAACUCCUUUUCGUGAUUUCCAUCCCAUCUGUCACAAGUACAAAGGUGCACUUUAAGUAAAUAAUGUGUAAAAUAAUCUCAGAAGAACAGCGGAUCAUUAGUAUAAGCAAGAAAAAUCGUACUUCUCAACUAAACUGAUGAGGUUUUCUAAUUCUUCUCUUGAUCCACCUACGUCGAAGAAGUCGUCAACCACAGUGGUGAGCAGACUAUUUUUGGUCCAUGACAUGCGAGCAUCGGUUAAUUCAGGAGGAUAUAAAGUAGCGGCAGCAGAGAGGUAACAGUAUGUUAGCUUAUCCCGAGCAAAUCCUAGCUGAUCCAACCUGUUUUCUCUGACCCAGCUGUUAAAAUCACAAAUUUAGAUUAGGAAAGCACAAUGCUGGCGUUAAAUGUAAUAAAAAUAAGGAACUUGCUUUUGCAUGCGCACUUAACAAAAGCAUAUUUGUGAAGGAAAGUGAGUGGAAGGGCAUAUAGGCACAUAUUGGAUAUUCAAAGGACAUUGGCAACAAUUUCAACUUAAGAAGGGUCUGCGAGCAAACGUGUUUAUUUCGAGAGAUAUUUAUGCAACAAAAUAACCCUAAAAAGAGAAUCCAUAAGAUGGACAGACCUCUGAAGAUGUUGAAGUUCUUUCUGAUAUAUAGACUGACAACUACUGAAAUCUUCAAUUGCCAAUUUAAGAAGAUCAUCAGAAGUGCAGAAAGACCUGAUACAGUUCAAAAGCAAAAAUUACUGGCAGAAAUCCAAAAAUCAGAAAAAAAAAGGUUUUAUCCUAUUUAUGAUUAAAUUCUUACUUAUAUGAUGUUUUGAGAAUCUGAUAAUUGGCAACAUCAAAGUUCUCGAUGUUUCUCUUGUGUUCUAAGCGUUCCAAAUUGGCGUAAAAGGGAAAUUUAAGAACAUAAUCUGCCUGAAAAUAUAAAAUAGAAUUAGUUUCAACUCUCAAUCAGACAACUAAAAUUUUUUUUUCCCCAAAAAACAUAUUAAGACUAUCAAAUACCUACCUCUUGGGAGAUAACUCGGGAAGAAUGUUUUGAAUUAGAAGAUACUUCCUCUUUUAGGAAACUACUGGACCAGGAACCCAGUUUAUCUAAGACUUGUUCACAGUCCAGGAUUUUAAUCUGUGAUGCCUUGUGAAAUUCUAGAACAGUUUUCAUAUCUUUCAGAUAUCCUUGCACGGAAUUAUGGAAAUUAUGCCCAUCUGCACAAUCGUCAGCAAUAGAUUAAAAACCCAUGGGCAUAAAAUACAUAUGUUGAUAACCAAGAUUCAGAAAGCUAGUUCCUUCGGGGCCCGAAUUACCUGAAGAAACAUCAUAUCCGUUCAUACGCAAAAGACGAAAUGCCAUAGCACACGCCGUCAUAUCUGAACUAAGUUCCUCAUCGUUCUCCAACCAGCAUCUGCAUAUUUAGAUGACGGCAGCUUGUAAAAUCUAGAGAUAUUGCACACAUCUCAACUUAAGGGUAUUUUUGUAAGGAACUCCACUCUAAAUGGGGUGUAUAAAAAUUAAGAUUAUAACAAGGGGUACGUAUGUGUAAACAGAUCAUUUUGCAGAAAUACCUCUAUAUAUAUUUCUAAAACUGCAAUUCAUAUUUAGAAGCUAUUUCUAGCGUAAUACCUGUAUAUUCUGUCCAAGAUGGUCUUUAUCUCAUAAGCAAACAGCCGAGAAAUUCCCAACUUUUCAAGAGUGUCGACCAUGCAAAGCUGCGUAUGCAUCUCAAACGGAUAAACGGUAGGAACUGCAGAAAGGAAAAUGAUAUUAGAAAUACCGUAGCAUUUCCACAUAUGCGACAGACAAAAUUUAUCGAUUAGAGAGUAGAAUCGAAUCCACCUGAGCUGCCAAACCGCCGUAAAAUAGCAUGCAGGUAGUCAAGAGCUUUAACAUCAUAACGAUGGGUCAAUGCGACAGCUGUUGUUGCAGGUGAAUUGAACAACGAUCCGUUCUUCCUCUGAUACUUCAUAACCUCAUUCCAGUCCUGCAAAUUCCCUAAUCCUUCGGAUACAUACGCCAUGUACGCUUUUCGUCCCUCGGAAUUGUUUGCAGAAUCCCUAAAAAAUCAAUAAUACCGAUCACAACAUAAAUGCCAUUUACAAAAAAAUGUGCAUCCUGAGUGAAAUUAAUGAUAUAAGAUUCUGUUAAAUAUAAAAAUGUUUAAAUACCGUUCUCUAAUAGCUUAAGUUCUUAGAGUAUAACGGUUGUUUCACAGAUUCAAACAAAAUUUACAUUGGAAUAACCAGGGAGCCUGACCUUUUCAAUUCUAAAUCUCGAAGGCAAAGAAUAUCCUGAAUAGCAUGCUGUCUUAUGGGAAUAUCUAAACCCAAAUCGAUUGCACGUUCAAGCAUGCCAGGGAAAAUGAUAUUGAAGCCGACAGGAGACUGAUAAUUCUCAUCCAUAAUACAUGACAAAUUAGAUCCAAUAUAAUGUAGCCCUGCAAUAAGUCGAAAAAAAAUGAAGCUUCUUAAUCCAUUGAGCAAAACACAAUGUUAAUGAGUAAAUGUUCUGUUUCCUAAUACCUCUUCUUACGUGCUCUUCACCGACAUUCCAUCGCUUGAGCGCGAGUACACUUGCCAAUGUGGAAGAUAGAGCAUCUUUAAUCAAAGAGGGAUGGAUAUGGUCAAGUCCCCAGGAUCCAUUAGAAUUUUGAUUUUGUAACAUCCAAUCGACGCACUGAGGGAAGCACGGAGUUUGAGGAGAUCCAGGAGAAGGGACCAUGGCAACCCAUGCCGUGUCAUAUGAAGAAACUGAAUAUUCGACCUUACUUAGCUGCUCCCUUAUUCGUUUCUCCGAUUCCCUGGAACACUACAGCCACGUCUAAUAAGAUGCUUAAUUCAACCACAAAUUUAUUGUAUGGAGAUUUCAAAAUAACAUGGGAUCAAUAAAUCUAAUACCGUUACUGAGAGGUUCGCGCUGCUUUCUUCUUUCCCAUCAUCCCAAUUUGCUGUAUAUGAAAACGAAGCAUUCGGCAAUCAGCAAAAGAGAAAUAAAUGUAACACCAGAGCAAGUGAAAUAUGCAAAUGUCUUUUCGUAAUUAUUCCAACCAACCUAAUUAGAAGUUGUCAUGAUAUAACUAGAUCUAACACAUGCUGCAAUUUGAAGAUAAUCUCAUAUUUGGCAUUUAACAUAUUCUCCUUAAAAAAAAAAUACACAACUUUAAGGUAUCGUUUGGUUCGGGGAUAAGCAAAAAAUGGCUAUUCCAGGGAUAGGUAUAAAUUGAGGUAUAAGCGGGGAUUAGAUCAAUUUUGCGUUUGGAUGAAAAUUGGGUAAUUGCUGUGAAUAAAAGAAAUAGCGUUUGGUUAGGUAAAAUAGAAUAAGAAGGAUAGUGGGUUUUAUAAAUAAAAAGUAAUGAUAUUAUCCUCUUAUUAUAUUUGAAUUUGAAUUUUUAAAAUUUUAAAUUUAUAUUUUUAAAUUUAAAAUUUUAAAUUUUAAAAUUUGAGAAAUUUGAAAUUUAAAAUAACAAUUUUAAAUUUUAAAUUUCAAACUUUAAAUUUAAGAUCAAAUUUAAAUUUGAAAAAUAUAAAAAUAAAUUUUAAAUUUCAAAAAUAAAAUAUCAAAAUUUCAAUAUUAAAAUUUAAAAUUUAAAUUUAAAAUUAUAAACUUUAAUUUGAGAUUAUAAAUUAUAAAUUUUAAAAUUUAAUUUUUUUUUUUAAAAUUUUAAAUAAGAAUAAGGGUGGGAACUUAAUUAAUAAAUAAUUUACUAUAAUAAAUUUAUAAAUUUUUUAAAAUUCUAAUCAAACUUAAUUUAUAAAGGAAUUAUUAUAAUUUUAUUAUAAUAUUUAAAUAUAAAUAAUAUGUAUUAAUAUAGUACAAUUAAUAAUUUUAUAAUAAAAAUAAUGUAUUAUAUAUAUAACAUAGUGAUAAUUGCCUAUAUACCCUUCAUGCGUUCGGAAAUAUCGAUCUACCCCUACUCUUUUUUUUCUUUCUAAAAUUGUCCUCAUACGUUCCACCGUUAUUCCAAAAUACCCCCGCAGUUUAUCCCCUGUUAGCUUAACUCGGGUUAAACAUGGGUUAAUACUAUAUAGAGUUAAAACCUGACAAAAUACUAUAUUUGCCCCUACUUUAUUAUAGUAAUCCCUAAAGAUGUAUCCUCUUUCUUCCCAAUUUUGUCGCCACCACGGCCGCGCUCCUCCGCCUCUACUCACCUCCUCGCCUCAUCUCCUCCCAAACCACCACACUCCCACACCUCCACUCCAACACACCCAUCUCGUCGUCUCGUUGUCCUCCUCCGCCGCCGCUCUCGUCGUCGCCGUCGUCCUCUUCCUCCGCCGCCUUGGCCGGCGCCGGGAGCAAGAGGGCCGCAGCGACGAUCCCAUCUCUCGCCGCUCUCGUCGUCCUUCUCCUCAUCCGCUGCCUUGGCCGGCGCCAGGAGCAAGAGGGCCGCAGCUCCAUCGGACCCCUGCACGCCUUCUGCUCCGGAUCCGGCUGAAGGGUAAAUAAGAAAAGUAUUUGCUAUAUGAAGGGUAUAUAAGAAAAGUUUGUUACGGUACAAGGGUAUAUUGGAAUGGGCAAAAUGGUAAUUUUUCAGAGCUAACGGCAGCUCACUAACGGAACUUAACUCUAGGGGUAUUUUAGAAAAACUUGGAACAUAAGAAGGGUAUUUUCAAUAUUAGCCUUCUAAGAGGGGUAAAUAAGAAAACGGAGAACUUUUCAGGGGUAUAUAGGCAAUUGCCCCUAUAACAUAUUAUAUUUAUAUAAUUUAGUUUGCUUAAUUUAUAAUUUUAAUUAAGUUUGAAAUUAAGCAUUGGAAUAGCACUAUUCCACCAAAAUGGUGGAAUAGCAUAUUCCUUGCUAUUCCGGAAUAACUGGGAAUAGCAAGAUUUGACCGGAAUAAAAUAUUCCGGCCAUAUUUCAUCCCGUUUGGUGGAAUAGCGGGGAUGUUAUCCCCGCUUAUCCUCCGAACCAAACGGGGCCUAAUUGUCUUAUUGAGACAAAUGUAAAUAAUAUAAUUUAAUGCCACAUUUACUUGUAUAAUAGCAACGGUUGAAUAUCAAUAUUAAAAGCACCAUAUUCUCUUACAGAAGUAUUUCAUAAUCACAACGAUGGAAAAGCAGUGUUAGUAUAUUUCAAAAAAACUAUACAUGAGAUGCAGAACAGAACGCAUCACAUAUCCUUUCAUACACAAAAAAAUUUAACUUAAAAAAUGGUUCUACCUGACGAAACUCGCGGAAGAGAUGCUCUAACUGUUUUUUUAGCUCUAACUCUAGAAAUUUGAAUAUCUGAAGAUCGGAUGCAGCACAGGGGAAAUGAGAGAGCAUUUAACGACAUGGCCACUCAGGUUUAUGUGAAAUUAAUGGUGAUCUGCGACGAGAUAGCAGCAAACUAAGAGGCAUCAAAAAAUGAUUAAGAAUUUUCGAGAAAAAUACUGCAGGAAAAAAGAAAGCAUAGCUAGAAGAAAGAAUCCAACCAAUUAAGUAAACGAAAAUUAAAGUAACUCAAUUAAGGAUAGACUAAUCAAAGUAAAUCAAACUAAUUAAUGCGUCGAUAAUAAAAGGUGACAAAAAUGUACAUGAACCCUCUCGUUGUCCAUUUUACUUGUCGUUAGCAUUCCUUCGGUUUUUACUUCUUAAUUUCCAUUGAAGUUUUUUCUGUAAACCGGUUGAUUCAAGUUUUGUAUAAUGUUUUAGAAAUAUUGUAUAUUUUAUUACUUUGUAUUUAAAAUGACAAAUUCGUAACUAACGUAUCAAGUCACUUGGUUACGUGUCAACGACCCGUAGAUAAUAGAGCUAUUAAUUUUUACAGAACCCCAAUAUAAAUAGAUAGAAUGAUUCAAAUAAAAAAAAAAAAUUAAAAGUUGAGAGGUUUCGAUAAUUAGAAAAGAAAAAGUAAAACUAAAAUUUGCAUGUUCUAAAAGCUCUAUACAUGCGUCCAUGGCCAAGGAGAGAGAGAGAGAGAGAGAGAGAGAGAGAGAGAGAGAGGUUGCGGCGCUACCUGUUUAAUUUGUGUUCACUACCAAAGAGUAAACGGAGUGGCGAAGAAGAGAGCCUGAGGGGUAAAUAAAACAAGGUGGGGUGUGUAUAUAUACAGUGUACUAUCAGUAGCACGGAGCGCUCCGUUAUGUUCGCUUAAAUGGGCCAGCAUCCUGCCUUGUGGCAGGAGGUCAUGUGGGCCCGAGUCAUGUUCGAAAUGGCAUGAGGCUAGGUGGGCCGAGUCAUGUUCGAAGUGGCGUGAGGCUAGGUGGGCCGAGUCACAAUCGAGACCCGUGGGCGCUGUUUCUGUACGCUUUAAGUGAAUUGGUUGCGUAUUUCUAACAGCUCGAGCUUUUGGGAUUAAUGGUUAGCGUCAACAAUCCGACAAGUUGUAUCAGAGCCAGAGCUCACAGAUUUAAUUCCUGCAUGCUGCAAAUGUGCGCAGGUGCUGGAGGGGGGAUUGUUGGCUUAAAUGGGCCAGCAUCCUACCCUGUGGCAGGAGGCCAUAUGGGCCGAGUCAUGUUCGAAAUCGCGUGAGGCUGGGUUGGGCCGAGUCAUGUUCGAAGUGGCGUGAGGCCAGGUGGGCCGAGUCACAAUCGAGACCCGUGGGCGCUGUUUCUGUACGCUUUAAGUGAAUUGGUUGCGUAUUUCUAACAGCUCGAGUUUUUGGGAUUAAUGGUUAGCGUCAACAAUCCGACAAGUUGUAUCAGAGCCAGAGCUCACAGAUUUAAUUCCUGCAUGCUGCAAAUGUGCGCAGGUGCUGGAGGGGGGAUUGUUGGCUUAAAUGGGCCAGCAUCCUACCCUGUGGCAGGAGGCCAUAUGGGCCGAGUCAUGUUCGAAAUGGCGUGAGGCUGGGUUGGGCCGAGCCAUGCUCAAAGUGGCGUAAGGCCAGGUGGGCUGAGUCACAAUCGAGAUCCGUGGGCACUGUUUCUGUACGCUUUAAGUGAAUUGGUUGCGUAUUUCUAACAGCUCGAGUUUUUGGGAUUAAUGGUUAGCGUCAACAAUCCGACAAGUUGUAUCAGAGCCAGAGCUCACAGAUUUAAUUCCUGCAUGCUGCAAAUGUGCGCAGGUGCUGGAGGGGGGAUUGUUGGCUUAAAUGGGCCAGCAUCCUACCCUGUGGCGGGAGGCCAUAUGGGCCGAGUCAUGUUCGAAAUCGCGUGAGGCUGGAUUGGGCCGAGUCAUGUUCGAAGUGGCGUGAGGCCAGGUGGGCCGAGUUACAAUCGAGACCCGUGGGCACUGUUUCUGUACGCUUUAAGUGAAUUGGUUGCGUAUUUCUAACAACUCGAGCUUUUGGGAUUAAUGGUUCGCGCCAACGAUCCGACACGUUAUACUUGAUCUAUACUAUUAAAAGUAUUUAGAAACUAAAUAAUUUUUCGAUACCAUUUGAAAUACCUAUCAAACAAGUAGUCUAAAAUUGAACGGCUGAAAAUAAAAAUCUCAUAAAAAAUGAUGAUAAAAGAUUUAAAUUCAAGAUCAGAUAUACUGAUCUUACUCUAAAUAGUGAAAAGAAUUUUUCAUAAAAUUUUCAUCAGAUUUGAAUUGUUUUACACCGUUAAACUCUCAAACACACCACAUCGGCCAUUAAAAUUGUCAAUUUUGUGAUCUUUUGAUCACUAGUCAAAUGAUGUCGAAAAAAAUCUGAAAUUUAGUUUUCAAAUACUUUCAAUAGUGUAGAUCAGGUUUAACGUAAUCGAUCGUCGAUUUGAAAGUCGCAUCAUCAAAAACAACUUGGUAGUACGGAGCGCUCCGUGCUACCGACAGUGUAGUAGCCGGACUUAUAUAUAUAUAUUAUUAUUAUUAUUAUUAUUAUGUAUAUAAUGAUGGGAUUGGAUUUGACUUCGACUUUGCCUUUAGAAAGAGAUUUAGUGAGUAUCCAAGUAGAAUUGGAUUUAGUCUAAAAAAUAAAAAAAUUCGAUGAAAAAAAUAAGAAUUUUUUUAAAAAAACGGUGCGAUGAAAAAGAAAAGUUUUUUUGUUUUACCCGCUACUAUUUAUGUAAUUUAUUAUCUUUUUUUUAUUUUUAUUAUUUUGUUUUGUGCAUUCUCUUGUCUACCUUCCACUAUUGUGAGUCCACACCACGUGCACUCACAUAUUUUUAGGGUUAAUUACAUAUAGUUUUUAAUAAAUUAUCGAAUAUAUUACUACAAAAUUUAAUUUUUUAUAUUUAUUCUUGUAAAAAUUCGGUGAUAUUUAUAUUCCCAUCUGGUUUGUUACCGUUAGAGAUUGUUUAUUUUUUAAUAGCAGAUAGGUGAAAUAAUAUUUUUGCUCUUACAAAUAUAUUUUUUCAAAAGCCCAAGUAUUAAAAUUAUGCAGAAAUAUCCUUUCAAAAAAAUAUUUUACUUAAUAAUAUAAGAUGAGUAAAAAAAUCAAUUUAACUCAUUCACUAAUCAGAGUUAAGUAUUUCACUUAUGGUUAAUUAUAUUUUUCCCACGGAUUCUAGCAGUAGAGAUAUAUUUAAAAAUAGUAGUACUUUUGCAGAAAUAAAAAUAAAAUGUUAAACUUUGUAGAAAUAUAUUGCUAUUCAAUAUGUUCACAUAAAAUUAUAUGGAAUUAACCUUGUUUUUUAUUAGCCCUACUUUGACAUCAGCUCGCCCCAAAGUCCCUAGAAGUUAAAAGUCUAUUUGUUUGGGUAAAAAUGGAGAGGGGUGAAAUCGUUUUCCACUAUAAGCAAUCACUUUCGCUGUUUGUUUCGUCGUAAUAAAGAUACGAUCGAAACUCAAGUUGUCCGUAACAGACCGAAGUCAAUUACGGUGAGAAAAGAUGAACAGAAAAAUAAUAAAAUAAUACAAUGAAUAAUGCUAGUUAUAUUUAAAUAUAUUUAAUUAUGAGACUAAUUAUUUUUUUAUUUAGUUUGUAUAUUUAAAAUAUGAUAAAAUUUGAUUAGUUAAGUUUUAAUAUUUUCUUCAUUUAGUUUGUAAUUUAAAAUAUGAUGAGAAUUUAUUAGAUAAGUAUUUAUAUACUAUUUUACUUUAUUCUAUUGUUAUAUUAUUAUUAUAAUUUAUGUAUAAAAAGUAAUUUAGUUGUUUUAAAUUAAAUUUUUUAAUUAUAUAGAAAUAUAAUUAUAUUGUUUUAUUUAUUAUAUUAUAAUUUAUUAUUUAUUAAGUUAUUUAUUAUUUAUACAUAAAUUAUAAUUUUAGAUCACUCACUUUUUGUCAAACAUACAGCAGAACUAAAAAAAACUUACUUUCAUAACUAUGAAACAGCAGGAGAUAAGUAGUUUUUACCGAACUCCACUUCAAUCCAAAAUCUACUUCAGCCCAAAUUCUAAUUUCAGUGAAACAAACAUACCCUAGUGUAUUUAAGGUUGCAAUUGGUGGAACCCAAAGUGGACAAUGGAAAGUUGGGAUUUAUGAAUUAUUAUAGGGCUUUUUUUGCUUUUAACCAUCUCAGAAAAAAAAAAAUUUCCACAAAUAACCUCAUAAAAAUUAUAUUUACAAGAUUAACCUUAUCCUCGCCACACGAGCGCGACGUGUGUUAGGUUGGUUAAGUUGAACACAGUAAAUCAUUCAUCGUGUUUGGACACGACGAAUGAUUCAUCGUAUCUUUUUCACAUUUUACUUAUACCGUGUUCUUUUCACAUUCACCAUUUUUAUUGUAUUAUAAAUUAAAUUGAACACAGUAAAUCAUUCAUCGUGUUUGGAUAUAGUGAAUGGUCCGUCGUGUUCAACUUAAAUUCUGGAUUGUUAGUCACGCUCAUGUGUUGCUUGCGUGGUAGGGAUAAGGCCAAUUGUGCAAAUAUAAAUUUUAUGAUGCUAUUUACGAAAUUUUUUUGAGAGGCUAAAAGCAAAAAAAAAAAGGCCCAUUAUUAUAUUAUUUAUUUGAUGACUUUUUAACCCUUAUUAAAUGUAGUGGUGCUAGAUCUAUGCUGUGUACAAGUAGCGUUUUUCUUUCCCAAGUCCCUAGCUCCGAGAUCUAAACAUAAUCUUUUUCAUUUUAACUGGAGACUUUUGGACAUGAAAAAUACUAGGUAUUACUUACAAUAUUAUUUAAGUAAAAUCAUACACAACAUACUUGAACAUCGGACAAUUUUAAUUUAGCUAUCUAAUUUUUUAAAAUUUUAAUUUUAUUAUUCAAUCUUUCGAUUUGUUUGAUUUGGGCUAGGCAACAACACUUUAAUUUUAGAAUAUGAUUGUGUUAUUUAUCUUUACAAUUUUAGUUAGUAUCCUUCAAACAAUUCUCGCAACUAUAAAUUCGAUAAAUUAAGUUAUUAGCUUAAAUUUUGAAGUAAAAAAUAUCAUUGGCCAGUUCAAAUCAAACAAAUUAAAAUGUUGGAUAGUAAAAUCAAAAUUUCGAAAUGUUGAACAACCGAUUCAAAAUAGUUUAUAAUUCAGAUAUAUUCUAUACGUUUUUACCUAUUAUUUAUUGUAAAUUUCUUGUAAUAUUUUUAAACUGCUUGUCGCCAUGCUUGAGCAAAUCAAAAUUUCAUACACCCAACGGAAUCCCAGCCUUGAUUUGUAGCUGGUAGGAAAGCAGCCAAAUCCGUCCCUCAAUUGCAUCUCCCAGUACUUACUUUUUGAAAGAAAAAUAGCAUGCUAUCUAUAACGUCCCAACUUUUCAAGGAGCUAUUCAUUCUAGAACUAUUCUAGUCCUAACACGCUUAAUUUUUUUAAUCUCUUAGGCUUAUCCACCGUACAAAAUGUUAUAGUCGGGUCAAGAGUUUUAGUUUUAUUAUAUCUUAUAUAUAGAACUAUCUGAGAUUUUAUACUAUUUGUUUCGUGUUUUUUAAGAAACAAAUUUAGUUGAAAAUAUGAAUUAGCUAGGCUUCGAACUUUGAAUCUCGGAUACCCCAUCAUCAAGCCCUUUGCCUUUUGUACUAGGCACGGUCGGCCAUCUUACAGUGCUUGACCUGACAGUUGUAAAGAAGAACUCCUAUAAAUAUGUAAACCAAAGUGUAGCUUCCCCAGUACAUUAGAAAAAUGUAAGAGAAAUAAUAUUUGUACAUCCCAAAAAACAGUACAGACAUAAACAUUUCUCAUUCUUAAAUUCAUAAAACCUUUUGAAUUUUUGAUAUUAAAAAAAAAAGUCAAAAUAUAAUGUGAAACAGCUACAGUAUAAAUCAGUUACUGUCGAAAGGUUGCAUUGAGUACCCAAAAGUCUAAAAUCAUCUUCUACGGUGUCUGUUGAAGGUCCUUAAUUUCUUUGGAAUCCUUGUCUUCAUUUCUAUUAAUGUUUAUUUUGAAAAUAUGAUUGAAACCUUUUUUUUCUAAGAAAUUUUUUCAUGGUACAAAAUUUGCCACAUAGCUAGAUUAUCUAAUUCAAAGGUUUAAAUUUUACAUGCAUCCCAAUCAGGCGUGUCCUCCGCGCUAUUUCUUUUUCGUAGAAGUAUUGUUACUGCUAUCAAUCCAAGUCAAACUGCUGGUACCGGUCAAUGCAUCCUACUAUUUGUAAGUACAUAAUUUUUUUUUUUUUUUGAGAAUCGGUAGCACGCUACCUACUUCAUUCAUUGAAUAAGUGAAUUAGGCUACAGAGGUGGGGCAACCAGGGCCCCAAAUAGAGAAAAAAAAAAAAAUCAUAGAUUGUCUUUCCAAGAAUCAAUCAAGUACUUGAGCCUACGCGCCGCUAAUAUGGGGUCAAACUGAAUGUCAUGAAAGAUAAAGUUGUUCCUCGCCUUCCAAAUGGUCCACCAGCAUGCGGCCAAUUCAGAUAGACCGUCCCUUCUACUUUGUAAGUACAUAAAUUAUAGAUAAUUUUUCAUGGUGCAACCUUGUAGAGGUGAGCAAAUCAACCAUAAAUGGUGUGUUCAUAACAUCAGAGUGGGUAGCAUGCUAUCUUUUUCUCACAAAAAAAAAAAAAAAAAAAAAAAAAAGGAAAAAAAAAAAAAAAAAA